GGUGAGAUCACCUAAUUUAAGGGUCUUUGUAUUUCUUUUUAUCGUUUUCCUAUAUAUUUAUGAUAGUAGCAUCCAUAUUUCUUCUCCCCUGCCUGAUUGCAGAGUGCAGUUAAUUUGAAAAUCAUCAAUCUCAGCAACUCACUAAACCUGAUCAAGACUCUAGAUUUUACAAGAAUUCCGAAUCUCGAGAACCUUAUUCUUGAAGGGUGUACAAGUUUGUCUGAGGUCCAUCCAUCACUUGCACGUCACAAGAAGCUUGAAUAUGUGACUCUUAUGGAUUGUGUAAGUAUUAGGAUUCUCCCUAGCAACCUUGAAAUGGAAUCACUUAAAGUUUGCAUUCUUGAUGGAUGCUCAAAACUUGAGAAGUUUCCAGAUAUAGUAGGAAACAUGAACAAAUUGACGGUGCUUCAUUUGGAUGAGACUGGUAUUACAAAACUAUCUUCAUCAAUUCAUCAUUUGAUUGGCUUAGAAGUAUUGAGCAUGAACAACUGCAAGAACCUUGAAAGCAUUCCGAGUAGCAUACGUUGUUUGAAAUCCCUUAAAAAACUUGAUCUGUCUGGCUGCUCUGAACUUCAAAAUAUACCACAGAAUUUGGGGAAAGUUGAAGGUUUGGAGGAGAUUGAUGUAAGUGGAACUUCAAUAAGACAACCGCCAGCAUCCAUUUUUCUUUUAAAGAGUCUUAAAGUAUUAUCUUUGGAUGGAUGCAAAAGAAUAGCUGUGAAUCCCACGGGUGACAGGUUGCCUUCUUUGUCGGGUCUUUGUUCUUUAGAAGUACUAGAUUUAUGCGCUUGCAAUCUAAGAGAAGGGGCACUUCCUGAAGAUAUUGGCUGCUUAUCGUCAUUAAAGUCUUUAGAUCUGAGCCAAAAUAACUUUGUUAGCCUGCCUGAAAGCAUAAAUCAGCUUUCUGGACUUGAAAUGCUUGUCUUGGAGGAUUGCAGGAUGCUUGAAUCAUUGCCUGAGGUUCCAUCAAAAGUUCAAACAGUAAAUUUGAAUGGUUGUAUACGCCUAAAAGAAAUUCCAGAUCCGAUAAAGCUAAGCAGUUCCAAAAGAUCAGAGUUCAUAUGUCUUAACUGCUGGGCAUUGUACGAGCAUAAUGGCCAAGACAGCUUUGGGUUGACGAUGCUUGAAAGAUACCUCAAGGUCUUCUCUUAAUCAUACGCCAACCUUUUUGUAUCUCUCUCCCUCUCCCUCUAUCUAUCUAACGUUUUGUUUCUUCAUGGUACAGGGUUUGCCUAAUCCAAGACCUGGAUUUGGUAUCGCUGUUCCAGGAAAUGAAAUUCCAGGCUGGUUUAACCAUCAAAGUAAGGGAUCUUCAAUUAGUGUGCAAGUGCCUAGUUGGAGCAUGGGGUUUGUUGCGUGUGUUGCAUUCAGUGCAAAUGGUGAAAGUCCUUCUCUUUUUUGUCAUUUCAAAGCCAAUGGAAGAGAGAAUUAUCCUUCGCCGAUGUGUAUUAGUUGUAAAGCCCUUCUCUUUUCAGAUCAUAUUUGGCUAUUCUAUCUAUCUUUUGAUCAUCUUAAAGAGCUUAAAGAAUGGAAGCAUGAAUCCUUUAGCAACAUUGAGUUGUCAUUUCGUUCUUGCCAGCCUGGAGUAAAGGUGAAGAAUUGUGGUGUCUGUUUGUUAUCUUCUGUAUGUAUUACACCACGACCAUCUUCUGCCCAUUUUAUUGUUACAAGCAAAGAAGCAGCUUCAUCAUAUAAAGCUUCUUUAGCUUUUUCUUCGUCGUACCAUCAAUGGAAGGCCAAUGUUUUCCCUGGCAUCGGAGUCGCAAAUCCAGCCCAGAGAUUCAUUGUCCCAGUCAUGAAGGAACCAGAGAAAGUAAUGGCAAUUAGAUCAAGACUCUUUGAGGCCAUUGAAGAAUCAGGGCUGUCAAUUAUUAUAUUUGCAAGAGAUUGUGCUUCUUUACCUUGGUGCUUUGAAGAACUUGUCAAGAUUGUCGGUUUCAUGGAUGAGAUGAGAUCGGACACUGUGUUUCCAGUUUCUUGUGAUGUUGAACAAUCAAAGAUAAAUGAUCAAACAGAGAGUUACACAAUUGUCUUUGAUAAGAUUGGAAAAAAUCUCAGGGAAAACAAGGAGAAGGUACAAAGAUGGAUGGAUAUUCUCAGUGAAGUUGAGAUUUCAUCUGGAUCGAAAAGGUAAUAAUUACUUCUUCUUAUUUGUGUGUGUUGCUCGACUUAUCAACCACUUCAAGUAAAUGAAACUAGGAAUGCUGAAAUAUCGACUUUCAGAACUUAAUGUUAACAAAUCUGUUUUUUUUUUUUGCAUGGGAAAAACAGUACACAAUGGGGUUACAAGUUUUUUUUUCAAGGUACAUUAUGAAUUUUAAAAAAAUUAAUAUUAAACUCAGUUGAGUUUAUGGUCUGAAUUAAAUUGACAUGUUGUACUGUGGAUGAUAUUGUUUACUUUAUUUUUUUUUAAGUUUGUUAAAAAUUCAAAGGGAGAAAAGUAUUGAACCGGUUGAGUGCAUAAUCCAGGUCACAAGUUUUUUUGAAUGGUUGAGUAUAAAUUUAAGAAAAAAAAAUUUCAACCCAGUUGAGGUUUUUUUAUAAAGAUUCAUUUUUUGAUGGUGUUGUGUAUUUUUAAUUUUUGAAUUUGUUUUUUUAAAGUUGAAUAUAAAUUUAAGUGAAAACAAUUAUUGAACCUCAUUGAAUUCAUGGUCCGGGUCACAUAUUUAAUUUUUUUAAGGUUUAAGGAAAAAAAUAUUGAACCCGGUUGACUUCAUGAACUGAGUUACGGGUCUUAAGAGUUAAGCCACAAUAACCGGACAAUUUUUUUUUCUAAUGUUGCUUUUUUUUACUGAUAUCUUUUUUUAUAUAUCUUUUUUAAGAUAAUUUUCAAUUUAUGUUUCAAUUAAUAUCCCUCAUCUGUGAUUUGUUUUGUUUAUUUAAUCUUUUUUUUAAUAUAAAUUAUUUUUUGAUGGUGUUGUAUGUAUUUGUUUUUAAAUGUUGAAUAUAAAUUUAAGAGAAAACAAUAUAGAGUCUGGUUGAGUUCAUGAUUUGGGUCACAUGUUUAACUUCUUUUUUUGUUAAAGGUUGAAUAUGAAUUUAAAGGGAAAUCAAUAUUGAAACAGGUUGAGUUCAUGCUCCGGAUCACGGAUUUAACGAGUUAAACCACAACAAUGAAACAAUGUUUAUUUUUCUGAUAUUGCUUUUUUUUACUGAUAUUUUUUAUAUAUCUUUUUUAAAAUAUUUUUUAAAUUUAUGUUUCAAUUAAUAUUCCUCAUCUGUCAUUAUUUUUUUGUUUAUUUAUUUAUUUUUGGAUAAAUAUUGUUUUUUAUGGUGUUGUUCGUAUUUAAUUUUUAAAAAACUUAUUAUGAUUCAUAAAUAAUUUUUUGAUCUUUUUGUAUAAAAGAACUUUAUUUUAAAAAAUAAAAAAAAUUAUUUUCAUCUAACAUAAUAUGUACAACAACCUUGCAUAAUAUUUUUUCUAUUUUUAUUUUAUUUAAUCAAUUUAAUACGUGUGUUUAUUUUUAAUAUCAUUUGAUUGAAUAAAAAAAUAAAUUUUAAAAAAUAAAUUCAAAAAAUAUAAUUGGGUAAAUGUUCCGUUUAUUAACACAUUUGAAUUUUUUAAUUUUAUUUUUUGUUAUUGUUAAUAUAUUUUUAUUAUUAGUAAUUCACAUAGUUAUCAAUGUACAUGUAUGUAUGAGCUUUUAAAUUUACAGUUUAAAUUUUUUUAUGUAUAAAAUUGCAUCGAAAAAACAUGCAUGCACAACUUUUUUGUAAGAGAAAAAAAUAUCUUGUCUGUAAAAGAGUGUCAUCUUAUAGUGGGCCAUAACAAAAUGCUACAAUUGGAUUGGCUUGACUUAGUAGUCCCAACAACACCUGACCUUUGCUUUUUCUUCUUUUUUUCCUUUUAUAUGUUUUUUUUUAAAUUAUAUUUAGAUUAACAUCCCUUCUUUUUUUUAUGUUAUUUAGAGAUCCUCUUUGAAAUGAUGGUUAAUUUUUAGUUAUGCAUUUAAUUUUUGAGAAAGUUUUUCUGAUUCAUUUAUAAUUUUUUUAAUUUUUUGUACAGAUGAACUUUAUUCUUGAAAAUAAAUUUUUUUAUUUUCAAAUAAUAUUUCUAAUAUGUGCAACCUUACAUAUUAUUUUUUUUCAUUUCAUUUUAUUCAAUCAAUUUGAUGUGUAUGUCUAUUUUUAUUAUCGUUUGAUUGAAUAAAAAACUUGUUUUAAUUAAUAAAUUUAGUAAAUAUAAUCGCGUAAAUAUCUCGUUUUUCAAAAUUAAAUAUCUUAAUCUACACUUGUUUAUCGAUUUUUCCACUUUUAUUUUUAGUUAUAGUUUAUAGUUGUUUUUUUUACUUAUUAACACACAUAAUUCUUGAUUUACUUAAUUAUAUUUAUGCAUAUUUUUUUCCACUUAAAAUUUUUUAAAUACAAAAACAUGUUGAUAAAAAUCUAUCAAUAAAUUUUUUAUUAAAAUUUUUUUUUAACACCCAACAAAACAUGUAACAUCGAUUCCAUGUGCAGUUUGACUAUACCUAAGCUGCAGCAGCUGCUCAAGCAGGAGGAGCAGCUGCUCGAUCAGCUGGGGCAGCUCAAGCAGCAGAUGCUUGAUCAGCAGGUGAUGCUGCAGUGGUGGAAGCAGCUCAAUAAGGAGCAACUGCUCGAGGAGGAGCAGCUGCUCAAGCAGCAGGAGCAGCAGGUGCAGCUCGAGCAGCAGGUGCUCGAUCAGCAGGUGCUCCAGCAGUGGCGGUGGCAGCUCGAUGAGCAGGUGCUCCGGCACCAGCUCGAUGAGCGGUGGCGGCAGAUGCUCCGGCACCAGCUCGAUGAGCGGCGGCUGCAGGUGCUCCGGCGGCGGCAGCAGGUGCUCUGGCUGCAGCAGGUGGGGUUGGGGCAGGUGCUCCAGCUGCAGCGGCAGCAGCUGUAGCAGGUGCAGCGGCGGCACCAGUUUGAUGAGCGGCGGCAGGUGCUCCAGCUGCAGUAGGUGCAGCGGCGGCAGGUGCAGCGGCAGCUUGGUAGUGUGUUAGACCGAGGCGCGUUGAGUCUGGCAUUGACCAGACCCAAUAGAUAAUUGAAUUUAACACCAUAAACACUCCCUAGUCAAAGGUUUGAGAUGGAAUAUUUGCAAUGGGAGAGGAAUUAGUGUUUGUGAUCGGAACAUCAAAGUUGGGUUGUUUGUGAGAGGAAUAUUGAAGUUUAAUUUAUAAUUAAUUUAAUGUCAAAGGAUGAAAUUAAAAAAAAUAUAAAUAAAAAAAUCCUAGGUCAACCCGCUAAAUUCGCAACACGAGUCAUAAAGCUAAAAUAAUUUUAUAAAAAAAAACAUCAACAAAUUAUAAAACUCAAUCUUUAAAAAAUAAAAUGUUGAAAGAUAAAAAAAAACAUGUAGAUUUUUUUUUAAAAAAUACCAUUGCAAAUUUUAACUUGGUAAGAUUUUAUGUUAAUAGUACUAUAUUAGAUGAGUCCAGCUCACCAUAAGCUACAUGGAUGAAUAUGAGUUAAUGGUGAGUCGAGCUUGUAUAAUAAUUUAUGGGUAACAAAAGUUGUGCCCAGUAUUUCUAUAAUACGACGAGGUUUAAUUUCUUUUCUUUUCAUGGUUAUCUCUCAGUGGAUAGCAGCAUCAAUCAUAAGAACUUCUAUAUUUAUAUUUAAUUUAAAUACUAAUUAAACGUGAUAAGAGUGGGAGUUAAAUAUAACGCUUCACAUCAAAUGCUCUUGAAAAAACCAAAAUCUACUUCUUUUCAUUCUGGUUGCAUUCGCUUUCACCCCUGACUAUGAACAGGAACCCCAAUUAAAUGAAAUGGAUUUCUUGGAAAUUGAUCUCCUUGGUCCACACUCCACAGCAGAUAUCCGUGGCCUGCAGGAACCCCAAUCAAAUGAAAUGGAUUUCCUGGAAAUUGAUCUCCUUGGUCCACAGCCUAUUCGGUUAAACCAAGUCGGCUACCACUUGCAGCACAAUUCAUCAAAAGACGAUGUGAAUUAUGAUUUGACGUCAAACCAGGUGGAUUAUCAGCUGCAGCCACAAUUAUUUGAUGCAUAGCAAAAUAAUUAUUCAGAAUCACAGUACCUUGGCAGUCCUUUCCAGCCAACUUGAUGUGUUGUGUGCUAAUCCGAUGAAAAUCAAGAUCCCAAAGAGGGUGAUGCAGCUGAUGGUUGGUUCUCUUCCUCCUUGUGAGUUUUUACAUAAUAAAAUAGCGGCCUUAAUUACGAGAGUUCUUCCAUUUUUACAUGAAAAAUGGCUGGGAUUUCCUUUCGUUAUUUAUUAAUCUCUAUCACGACCACAAAAUUACUAAACGCCGACCGAAUAUGAUACACAAGUGCACUAAUUUUUUUUGGUUUAUUAAAGAUUAUUGGAGUGCAUCUUCCUUGGAUAAUUGUAGACUUUAUUUUCCUAAUUAAUAAAAAAGAUUUUUAUCCAUUGUGGUUAUAUCAUAUUCUGGUAGCUUUAAUGCUUUAUAAAUAAAGUAUUGAUCAUAAGAACUCUAUCAACCUUACUUUUUCUUGUUGUCAAUUUCAAUGGCCAGUGAAUCUAACUACAACAUCCGAAGAACAUAUUGCUUUAGUCAUAAUCUGGUCAUAGAUGAUUUCCCCAUCACAAGCUAUAAGUGCCUCUAUAGAGAACCCUAAUCCCUUCUCCAUGCUUCUUGACAGCCUCUUAAAAAAGGUUCAAGCUUGGGACUAAUGGGUUUGUUUCCUCUGUGGUCUAAGGUUCGAGUCCUGUGGUUGCUCAUAUGAUGGCCACUGAAGGCUUACAUGGUCGUUAACUUCAGGGCCCGUAGGAUUAGUCGAGGUGUACGCAAACUGGCCCGGACACCCGCGCUAAUAAAAAAAAAAGGUUCAAGAUUAGUCAUUUCAAAUGAGAAAAAAAAAGAAGAAACAAUCAUAAAGAGCGAAUCUUGUGAAUAAAUUACCGUAUUUGGACGCAACGAAACCGAGAAAAAACUAAGGUAAAGUCUAGACAAGAGCGCGCGCAUAAACUAUUUAUUGAUGAGCUUGUUCGUAUCAACAUAAAUAAAUAUCAAAGUAAUCCAGGCAAACUUUUGCAGAUUACGAAGAAUCUAAGUCGACAAAAAAGCUUUCAAUCAAAGUGUAUAUAUAUUUGAUAUAGAUUCAGUUUAGUAAUAAUUGUUUUUUAAUAUUUUAUUUUUAUUUUUUUAAAAUUAAUUUUUAACAUCACAAGCAUAUAAAAACAAUAUAAAAGAUUGAAAAAUUACAGUAAACCAUAUAACUUUUUGAAAGAUUUUAUACACGAAACCCUUGCUUAAUGACCAUAUAACAAUAUAAAAUUAAUACAAUAUAAAAUUAAUACACUUGGACAGUACUUUUGCUACAGUUUUUUGGAUAGUUCAAACUCAUUUAAAGUAUUUUUAGUUGGAUGUUCAUAUAGGUGAAAACAGAAAGAUUACUGUUACCUGAAAAACAUGAAGUCGAGAUGAAGGUUUACAAGGUCAAAGACAGCGAUCAGACACUCAUAAAUGCAAUGAAUCAGCUUGUUUUGGACAUCCAUCAAUGCAAGAAAUGCCCGUUUUCAAGAACUCUAAGCAACUCCUGAAUCCAGAACAAAACCCUCAAAUAUCAGAUCUUUAUAUGUUUGAAUAUCUAAAAAGAAGAAAAAGCAAACAAAUUUUUUUCUAUUUUUUUAAAUUCAUCUUAAUCUUAUUUUUAUUUAUAUUUAGAUCAAUAUAUCUUCUCUCUUUUAUGUUAUUUAGAAAGCCUAUUUGAAAUGACAAUUAUUUUUUAAUUUUUUAGAAUGUUUUUCUGAUUAAUUUUUUUUUUAAUCUUUUGUAUAGAUGAACUUUAUUUUUUAAAAUAAAAAGAAAUUUAUUUUCAAAUAAUAUUUUUAAUAUAUGCAGCCUUGCAUACUAUUUUUUUUAUUCAAUCAAUUUAAUGUACAUGUCUAUUUUUAUUAUCGUUUGAUUAAAUAAAAAAAUUAUUUUAAUUAACAAAUUUAGCAAACUCAACCAUAUAAAUGUCAUGCAUGUCUUGUGAAAUUAAAUAUUUUGAUCUACACUUGUCUCUCGAUUUUUUCAGUUUUUAUUUUUACUCAUCGUUUAUGAUUUUUUUCACUUUUUAACACACAUAAUUCUCAGUGAGACCUUCAAAACAGAGAUGUUCAUAAUCUUCAUUUUUUAUUGCAUAUGUAAUUUCAGAGCAUUUCUCUCUAGAAUAUUAUUAUAUUGUUCUUUUUUUAAAAGAUACUUAUUUAAGCAUUAGAGAGUCCUCACCUUCACCAAAUAAGAUCUUUUGCUGGUACUAACCACAAACUAUCUUGUCCUACCAAACACCCAGUAUAAUCUAUCAGUCAUAUUGAGUAGGGAUAAUGAAUGAGAUUGUUAAGAUCAUUUAAUUAACUAAUUAUUUAACCUGGAAGUCUAUUUCUAAACUACUUGAAUUUUUUUGGACUUCAUCAUAAAACAUGUUCAUAGCAAAAAAAAAAAAAAAAACCCUGAUUCAGCAAAGCAAGUUAUAAGGGGUCUAUAUUUGCUUUCAUUAACUAAAAUAGCAAGAGCAACACAAUCCAUAUAUACAGAGUGUGUUCAUCCAAAUCAGUUGGAAAUUGAUGAUCCAAAUAACAGGAAGCAUUACAAACAACGCCCUGCAUGCCAUAGAGAUGAACAUUUUUUUUUCUAACCACCUGUAAAUCAAAGUGCACUAGGCUGACCAAUAAGAAACUGGGAACAACACGCAACCGCUAUUGAAUCCAAGCUCGUCUUUCCUCCUCUCCUUUUUCUUGGGUCAAAAAUCAUCACUACCUCUCCUUUUAAUCCCUGUUAAAAAAACCAAAACAACCUUCAAAAACAACCUUAUUUUCCAACAAACCAUAGACAAAACCUGCAGUGUUAAAUUUGAAGUCAAUUGUUUGGAAAGUUGUCGAGCAUCAAGAGCAGUAGAGCAACUACAAUGGAAGAGGUCAGUGGAAAGAGAAAACCAAAAAACUAUUAUUUUAGCUAUUAUUUUCAAUUUUAACAACUCUUAUGAUAUAUUUGAAUAGCUAAAAUACAUUUUCUUCUACUAAAAUAUUAUUUUUACAUAUUUACAUAUAAAAGCCAAAAACAAGGAGAAAGUAUAUACACCCUUUAGCCAACAUCUCUUUAUCUAUGGUUGGCUUUUGUUUCUCUCCUUAAAAACAGAACAAGAAGAAGAAAAGAAGCUUGCAAACCUCAAAACCUAAAAUUUUUAACAUUAUUAUAUAAAAUUGAAAAUUAAAAAUAUAAAUAUAAAUAAUUUUGAUUUUAAAAGUUUAAAAUUUAAACUUUAAAUUAUAUCUUUAAACUUUCAUAUUACUUCAUUAAUUUUAUAAAUUACUCAUAUUAAUUGUAUAAUUAAUAACAUGAUUGUAUUAUAUAAAAAAUAAUUAAACUAGUUAUAUAAUUAUAUUAAAAUAAGUUUAGUAUAAAAUAUAUUAAAAUAUAAUUAGCUUUUUUAAAUAGCUUUUUACCAUUGGAAUUGCACAUAAAAAAAGCUAUAUUUACAUCCAUUUUUCAAUUUAAUUUUUAACUUUUAAAAAUAGCAUGUCUUAUUGAAGUUGCUCUUAUGCAGAAUUACACGGGAGAGGAAGACAAAAGAAGUCCAAAAAUAUUUACUUUUUAAACAUAGAUGCUUGACUUGAGAAUUCAUUACAAAACAUAAAUCAACUCAAUUGUGAUGUGUGUGGCCCAACCCCUGCUCUACUGCACAAUGCGCGUUCGAUAUCCCUUUCAUUUCUUUCUCUACUUUUUCUCCACUGGAAGUCCAUCUUCUUUACAGUGUAAGAUCCGUAAGAAAAUCAUUGGAAACUUACCAAUACGAGUUCUUGACCUAAAGGAACCGGAAAAAAUUCGAAGUCAUUGGAAUAAAAAGAAAGUAGUGAGGGCUUUGGAAGUAUGUUACUAAGAUACCAGAAGAAGAAAAAAUAUUGAGCCUGGCUGGAUGUUGUGCCUCUUUAGCCAACACUUACCACACGGUUUGUUUCGUCUAGAUUCGUGUAAUACUUGUAGAAAUGUGGUGUUUUCUGAUUUAUAAGUAGAAUUUUACAUGUUCCAGCUUGAAAUUGCUAUUUGGUAGAUUUAAUUGCCAUAUUUCUUGAUCUUACCUUCUGUUUCGUGUUUGAUCACAAGAGCAGGCCUUACACAAAAUAGCGUGGAAAGCAAUUUCUGAACCAAGCUAGCUAGUUGAGGCUAGAAGGAUCGGUACUAAUUUAUCGCUAUAGGGAUUUUCAUGGCUUCCACCAGCGUGCAAGGAAUGACCUCAUCUUCAUCUUCUCCUCCUCCACUAUAUAUGCAUGAUGUGUUCCUUAGUUUUAGAGGCAAAGAAACCCGGAACAACUUUACUAGUCAUCUAUAUUCUAAUCUGAAACAGAGAGGCAUCGAUGUAUACAUGGAUGAUAGGGAGCUCGAGAGAGGAAAGGCCAUCGAACCUGCUCUCUGGAAGGCCAUCGAAGAAUCAAGGAUUUCAGUCGUUAUAUUUUCUAGAGAUUACGCUUCUUCACCAUGGUGCCUGGAUGAACUUGUCAAGAUUGUUCAGUGCAUGAAAGAGAUGGGGCACACUGUUCUGCCAGUUUUUUAUGAUGUGGAUCCCUCAGAUGUAGCCGAGCGGAAACGGAAAUAUGAGAAAGCCUUCGUUGAGCAUGAACAAAAUUUCAAGGAAAAUUUGGAGAAGGUCCGUGUUGGGUAAUUCCAGAAAUCAAACACACAUAAAUUUACGUGGUUCGGCAACUUGCCUACUCCACGGAACUACUGGUUUGUAUUAAUCAAUCAAAGAAACAAUACAAACAAGGAGGAGGAGAACACUCUUCUCAACUCAACUCUACUCACUCAAGCUCUCUCUACUGCUCUCUGUUCUGCCGCACGCCCUCAGCUCUUCAAUAUGUCUAUUUAUAGACUAAGCUGGGAACAAGAGAUUAUGGCCACCAUGAACUUCCACUUUGUGCUAAGUGGGAUGAGUUGUUCCCACCAUGUGCUUCCACUUUAUGCUAAGUGGGAGAUGAGUUGUUCCCACUAGCAUAAAGUGGAGGUGGGGCAUUGUUUGUCUCCAUUAUUCUAACAAUCUCCCACUUGGAGACAAACAAUGAAAUUAUCUUUUAUCCUUGAAGACUAACUGAAGUUUUACACAACUUCAGUUUAUCAAGUGUAACUCCUUUGGUUAACAUGUCAGCUGGAUUCUUGCUUCCACAGACCUUUUCUAGCAUCAGUUGUUCAUCGUCUAGCAAUUGUCGGAUGAAGUGAUAUUUGAUCUGAAUAUGCUUAGUCCUGGAGUGAAAUGCUGGAUUCUUGACAAGGAAGAUUGCACUCUGACUGUCGCUAUACAGAGUUCCCUUUCCAUUCAUCUUGCCCAAUUCUUUUAGGAAACUCUGUAGCCAUACUAUCUCCUUUGCAGAUUCUGAAACUGCAACAUAUUCAGCUUCUGUUGUUGAAAGAGCGACGAUCUUUUGCAAGGUAGAACUCUAGGAAACAACAAUACCUCCUAGAGUAUAUACAUAUCUUGUAGUUCUCUUUCUGCUAUCAACAUCUCCUGCUAGAUCAGCGUCUACAAAACCUUCAAGUUUCAAACCACCAGCUAUGAAACUGAGACAAGUUUUCGAGGAACCUUUUAAGUAUCUCAUGAUCCAUUUUACCGCCUCCCAAUGCUGCUUUCCAGGAUUGCUCAUAUAUCGGCUUACAACUCCCACUGCAUGGCCAAUGUCUGGUCUGGUACAGACCAUAGCAUACAUCAAAGAGCCAAUAGCUGAGGCGUAUGGAAUCUUAUCCAUAUGUUCACAUUCUAGCUCAGUUUUUGGUGACUGGUCUUUGCUGAGCUUGAAAUGAUUCCCCAGAGGUAUACUUACUAGUUUAGCAUUAUCCAUACUAAACCUGCUGAGAACCUUCUUGACAUACUCUGUUUGUGAAAGCUUUAGUAUGCCUUUGUCUUUAUCUCUGAUGAUUCUCAUGCCAAGUAUUUGUUUAGCAGCUCCCAGAUCCUUCAUUUCAAACUGUUUUGACAAUUGUUGUUUCAGCUUGUCAAUCUCCUCAAUGCUGGAUCCUGCAAUCAACAUAUCAUCUACAUACAUUAGUAGAAUGAUGUAGGAGUUGUCAAAAUAUUUGACAUAGCAACAAUGAUCAGCUUGACAUCUUGUGUACCCCGAACUGCACAUGAAGUUGUCAAACUUCUUGUACCACUGUCUUGGAGCUUGCUUCAAACCGUAUAGGCUUUUCUUUAGCUUGCAGACUUGGUUCUCCUUUCCUUGUAUUGCAAACCCCUCUGGUUGUUGCAUGUAAAUGUCUUCCUCCAAGUCACCAUGAAGAAAUGCUGUUUUUACAUCUAAUUGUUCAAGAUGUAAAUUUUCUGCAGCUACUAUCCCCAAAACAACUCUGAUUGUUAUGUGCUUCACAACUGGAGAAAAUAUCUCAGAGUAGUCAAUCCUUUUCUUCUGUUGAAACCCUUUUAUAACAAGUCUUGCCUUGAACCGUUUGCUUCCGUCAUGCUCAGUCUUUCCUCUGUAAACACACUUGUUUUGCAAAGCCUUCUUUCCUUCAGGUAGUGUGGUUAGAUCCCAAGUCUUGUUCUUCAACAACGAAUCCAUCUCAUCCUUCAUGGCUAACUCCCACUUGCUUGAGUUUCCAUCUUGUAAAGAUUCUUCAUAAGUUUGCGAUUCACCACCAUCUGUCAGCAAAAUAUAAUUCAGUAGAAGUGUGAAUCGUUGUGGGGGCUUCACAGUCCUUGAAGACCUGCGAACAUAAACAAUGGGUUCACUUGGCUCCGCAUCUUCCUGUGUAGUAGUGGGUACAGAUGUGCUUGAAUCUUCUUGCAAAGGCUCUUGAUUUUUGUUCUGCUCAGUAACAUCAGGAAGCCCUUCUAAUCUUAUGAAUUUAGAUUUUUGUGGACUUGUAUCUGAAUCAGCCAUAUCUGUUUCUACACUUGAUCUGUCUUUGUACAAAACUUUAUCAUUUAAGAUCACGUUCCUGCUUCUGAUAAUCUUUCUAUUCUGAUCAUCCAAGAACCGAAACCCAAAUUCUUCAUCUCCAUAGCCAAUGAAGAAACAUUUCUUGGAUUUGGCAUCUAGCUUGUUGCGAGCAUUAAAAUCUAUGUGAACAUAGGAAACACACCCAAAGACCUUGAGAUGAGAGAGUUUUACCUCUUUUCCUCUCCAUACAUCCUCAGGCAAUCUGAAUUCCAAAGGAACUGAUGGACCACGGUUGAUUAAGUAAACUGCAGUAUGAACUGCAUCAGCCCAGAAUGUUUGAGGUAACCCUGAAUGCAACCUCAUGCUUCUGGCUCGUUCAUUGAUGGUCCUGUUCAUCCAUUCAGCAAUGCCAUUCUGUUGUGGUGUGUCUGGAACGGUCUUUUCCAUUCUGAUACCAUUGACAGCGCAAUAUUCUUUAAAACCUCCAUCAAUGUAUUCUCCUCCAUUAUCAGAUCUUAAGCAUUUCAACUUCAGACCUGAUUCAGUCUCAACCAUAGCCUUCCAUUUCUUGAAUGUUUCAAACACAUCAGAUUUAUUUUUUAGAAAGUAGACCCAUACCUUCCUGCUGAAAUCGUCAAUAAAGGUCACAUAAUACCGAGAACCUCCAAGAGAUGCCACUGGAGAAGGUCCCCAUAAAUCUGUGUGUACUAGCUCUAGCUUUCUUGGUCUUAAGGUCUUGCCAACCUUUAAGAAACUAAGCUUCUUUUGUUUUCCAAGAAUGCAACUUUCACAAAUGUCUAGAUCAAUAUUUUUUAACUCUGGCAACUUUCCCUUCGACUGAAGUAUCUUCAUCCCCUUUUGACUCAUAUGGCCGAGUCUACAGUGCCAUAGAUGUGCCUGAUUUUCUGGUUUAGUAGAGGCAAUAAUGUCUGCAAAUCUUGUGGUCAUAUAUAAGGUGCCGAUUUUCUUUCCACGAGCCAAAACCAUUGCUCCCUUCGAUACAUUCCACAUACCUCCAGAAAAAAGGAUUGAAUGACCACUAUCGUCAAGUUGUCCGAUGAAGAUCAACUUCUUCUUUAAUCCAGGAACAUGCCUUACAUUUUGCAAGUUCCAUAUAGAUCCAUUCAUUGUCUUGAUUUGCACAUCUCCUAUACACACAAUAUCCAUUGGUUGUCCAUCGGCCAGAUAGAUUACACCAUGAUCUCCAGCAACAUAGUUUUGCAUCAUUUCAUGGUGUGGUGUACAGUGGAAUGAAGCACCAGAAUCAAGAAUCCAAUCAUCAAUUGAACUUUGUACAGCAAGAAUCAAAGCAUCUUAUACCUCAUCUGUGGUAGCGUUUGCAAAGUCAGCUUCAGGUUUUUUCAGUUUUGUGCAACUCCUCAUGAAAUGACCAGGUUUGCCACAAUUCCAACAUUCAACCUGCUUUCUGGGUCCAAACUUGCUUUUACUUCUGUAUCUGGAUUUUGAUUUGCCUCUGGAUAAGCCUCUAUCCUGUCUCCUCCCUCGAGUGUUGAUGUUGAGAGCUAGCCUGAACCUGAACUUUCAUCUGAGUCUUUCCUUCUCACUUCUUCGGCCAAAAUCAGGUCUCGGAUGUCAUCAUAUUUCAGUUUGGAUUUUCCAGCUGAGUUACUCACGGCUGUUCUCAUACCUUCCCAACUGCUUGGAAGUGAAGCUAGCAAAAUGAGUGCACGAAUCUCAUCAUCAAACUCAAUCUCAAUAGAUGACAAUUGAUUUGUGAUGGUAUUGAAGUUGUUGAGAUGUUGUGUAACAGAGGUGCCUUCUAUCAUCUUUAAGUUGAACAACUUUUUCAUCAGGUGCACUUUAUUAUUUGCUGAUGGCUUCUCAUACAUCCCAGACAAGGCUUCCAUUAAUCUUGCAAUGGAUCUUUCUUUUGUAACGUUGUGAGCAACUCUUCUUGAUAAGGAUAGCCGGAUAAUGCCCAAAACUUAUCUAUCAAGAAGUAGCCAUUCUUCUUCUUGCAUAUUCUCUGGUUUGCUCCCCAACAAAGGAAGAUGAAGUUUCUUCCCAUAUAGAUAGUCUUCGAUUUGCAUUUUCCAAUAUCCAAAAUCUGUCCCAUCAAAUUUUUCAAUUCCAGCAGCCUUUAUUUCAUCUACCAUUUUUAAUAAUUUUAAAUUUGAAUCUGCUGAAUCUGAUCUUACGGAUGUGUCCGGAAUGGCCAAAAAUGUUGGAAACAACUCUGAAAUCACCCAGAUCGGACUUUGAUGGCUCAGAUCUUAUCAAUCAAACUUUUGGAUCAAUGACGAUGCAGAUGAAGCCGCGUGUCAGAUGAAAUAGUGUCUGCGGCGCACCGGAUCAAACCUCAACAUGAUGAUGUGGCAUAGAUGACGUGUCAGACACAUAAGCAAACUGGGCCCACCAUAGAUGACAUGUCUCAGCCAUGUGGGUUUAUUGCUGACGUGGCAUUAGCUGACGUGGAUGAUGACUGGUCCAAUGACAUGUCUGCUGACUGUGCGGGAUUGCUGAUGUGUCUACUGACUGGCUGAUGACGUGGCGGGUCAACCUGGUUCGGUUGCAGGAAUUCUAGCGAAGAAGGAGCGUGUGGUGCGUGUGGCGCGUGGGCAAUCCUGACGUAGGCGCGUGUUGGCGCGUUAGGGCAUGCAGAACAUUGGUUCUUCGCUGGGUUUUCACCAGUGGAUUUGUCUUGUCUUCCCCUACACGAUGGUAUGUUUAAAAACACAUUUUGAGAACUUUUAUUUCUGGGUUUGGAUCAAACACCCUUUUUUUUCAAGAACAAGCUCUGAUACCAGUUGUUGGGUAAUUCCAAAAAUUAAACACACACACAAAUUUACGUGGUUCGGCAACUUGCCUACUCCACGGAGCUACUGGUUUGUAUUAAUCAAUUAAAGAAACAAUACAAACAAGAAGGAGGAGAAAACUCUUCUCAACUCAACUCUACUCACUCAAGCUCUCUCUACUGCUCUCUGUUCUGCCGCACGCCCUCAGCUCUUCAAUGUGUCUAUUUAUAGACUAAGCUGGGAACAAGAGAUCAUGGCCACCAUGAACUUCCACUUUGUGCUAAGUGGGAUGAGUUGUUCCCACCAUAUGCUUCCACUUUAUGCUAAGUGGAGAUGAGUUGUUCCCAUUAGCAUAAAGUGGAGGUGGAGCAUUGUUUGUCUCCAUUAUUCUAACAGUCCGGAACUGGAAAGAUUGUCUCUGUACAGUGGCCAAUCUAUCAGGCUGGGACGUGCGGCAUAGGUAAAUCAUCCAUCCACUUUUAUUCUCAAAUCCACCCUGUAUGGUUUCAAUGAUGAACAUAGCUUCUUUCUUUUAAUGUUUUUCAAUUGAAACAUGUGAUUAAAUAUCAAAAUAAUCACAAUUAAACAAGUAUAUCAAAACUAAUUCUUGAAUAAAUAAUUGUUAGUAGAUAAUUUUGAUCCAUUAAAUAGCUAUUCCUAGCUUUUGUUCUUGUGUGCAUGAUUCUUUAGUAACUGUGUGAUUUCUAUAGGCAAUAAGAUAGCUAUUGUAAGGAUCAUUCUUAGCAUCAAUACAAUCCUAGUUCCGUUUUCAGUUUAUUCUUUCCUUCUUUCCUUUUCCUCUCUGUUCUUGAAGCUAUCUAUUGUCAAGCCCUAUCUUUCUCAAAGAUUGAUUUAUUAAAGCCAUACAUUUUCGAGCUAAUAUUUAUUUUCCCAUUAUUACUAUCUGAUUUGAUUUGCACACAGCAUGAUUAAUGUUUUCCACCACCAUAUGCAGGAAUGAGUCGGAAUCAAUUAAAAUAAUUGCUGAAUACAUAUCGUACAAACUAAGUGUCACUCUGCCAACAAUUAGCAAAAAAUUAGUUGGAAUAGAUUCUCUUCUAGAGGUAUUAAAUGGCUAUAUAGGUGAAGAAGUAGGCAAAGCAAUCUUCAUAGGGAUAUGUGGAAUGGGUGGCAUAGGUAAGACGACUGUUGCAAGGGUAGUAUAUGAUAGGAUUCGUUAGCAAUUUGAAGGCAGCUGCUUCUUAGAAAAUGUCAGAGAAGAUUUUGCUAAGAAAGAUGGACCACGUCGUUUGCAGGAACAACUUCUUUCUGAAAUCUUAAUGGAACGUGCUUCUGUAUGGGAUUCUUAUAGAGGGAUUGAGAUGAUAAAGAGGAGGUCACGACUUAAAAAGAUUCUUCUUCUCCUUGAUGAUGUAGAUGACAAAGAACAGCUAAAAUUCUUGGCUGANNNNNNNNNNNNNNNNNNNNNNNNNNNNNNNNNNNNNNNNNNNNNNNNNNNNNNNNNNNNNNNNNNNNNNNNNNNNNNNNNNNNNNNNNNNNNNNNNNNNAGGGAGCAGAAUUAUGAUAACAAGCAGAGAUAAACAAGUGUUGACUAGAAAUGGUGUUGCUAGAAUUUACGAGGCUGAGAAAUUGAAUGAUGAUGAUGCUCUUACGUUGUUUAGCCAGAAAUAGGUUUUUCCAGCUACUAAUUCUAUAAAUAUAAUGAAAACAGAAAUGAGAAACUCGUCAGUUUUUCUAUUGAUGUAGAACGAGGAAGAAGACGAGGGAGAGAAUAGAUGAAGAAUAGAAAGGUGACGUAUAAAGGAAUUGGGGGGGGGGGGCUUUUAAAUGGAUAUGGGUAAUAUUAUUUAUAUUAAUAAAGUAAUAUAAAAAAAGAGGAUAAAGAGUUACAUCCUAAUAAUAAAAAUCAAAUAUCAUAACUCUUCAUUCUUAUAAAUAAAUAUGUCUGUUAUACAAUAAUAAACACUAAGAAAAAAUAUUGAAAAGAAAAAUGGAUUCUCAAAAAAAAAAAUCUAUUUUAAUUUUCAGAAGAAUUGUUAAAUAAAGUAGGCUUAUUGAGUAAUGUGAUGUGAUAGUAAUUAUUUUUAAAUUUUUUUAUUUGAAAAUACAUUUAAAAAAUAUUUUUAAAAUGUAAAAACAAUAGUAUUAAUUGUUAAAUUAUGUGCAGACAUUAUAUAUAUAUAUAUAUAUAUAUAUAUAUAUAUAUAUAUAUUAUUGCUUAUGUGUAUUUAUUGUUGUGCAAUUCUUUGCUCCUCUGUCUGUCUUGUUGAAACAAACUAAAAAGAAAAAUAAUGUGCCAGUUAGAAAUUGAACGUUGAACACCCACUUGGUGAGAUUGUCUGAAACUUAAAUAGUAAAAAUGUGAUGGCCUCAUUCACCACUGGGCUGUUGCUCAAGUUUUGUCAUGCAUACAAUAUAAAUAAUAAUCAAACCUAAGACCUUAAGAAGGAAGAGAUUGCUGGCUGCGUACUGCAUUUUAGGGGUGUUCAAAAAAACCGAUUAACCGAAAAAACCGAAGAAAAAUUAACCGAAAAAACCGAACCGAGAUAAAAAACCAAUUAAACCGAUUUUUAAAAUCAUAAAUUCUAAUAGGUCCGGUUCGGUUUCGGUUUUAAAACUGAAACCAACAAACCGAACCAGACCAACCAAAAACCCAAAGCUAUACAAAUUAAGAGGGGUAUAAAUAGUUAAAUACUGAAACCUAACCCUAAAAGCCGUCGCUUGACCCCUGAGAAUAUUUAUGUCAAUCUUCCUUUCCCUUUCAAAUUUCAAUUGCUCUGCCUCCUCCAUCUCUAAAGUGAUUCUCAUCUCUUCAUCUACGUUUAUCUCCAUCUCAAAAGUGAGCCAAACACAAACUCAUCUCCUUAACUUCUCUUCUCUUUACUUUUGCACAAUCCUUCUUUAUUUCUGCUUAAGUUGUUGCAGUUACAGUAGAAGGAGAUGGAUCCUGUAGAGAAAAGAUAACAAGGUAAUUUUUUACCCAGUACUUGGUGUUUGCCCAGGGAUCCAAGGUAUAUCAACAGGAAACAAUGAUUAAUGACCGAAGUUGAAUUUAUAGCUUUUGUUAUUUACUGCAACAAAGACGGAUCUAUUACAAAAUCCUCUGAAUGGUUAGCUAAACUGCAUUGUUCCUCGCUUGUCAGCUCAAGAUUGUAAUAACUGGAAAUAUAAAAUUCCAAACAAGGAAAAAUUAGUGUUUGAUCUGUGAAGGGAUUCGGUUUUCUGGUUUUUUGCCAAAAAAACCAGAUUUAACCGAACCGAACCGGUUCGGGUGAUAUUUCAUAAAAUUAAUAUAACUCGGUUCGGUUGGUUUUUUUAGUCUAAACCAAACUGAACCGAACCGUGAACACCCCUACUGCAUUUAGUUGUGUAGUGGAUGUAUACAUUAAUAAUAUAUUUAGAAACAAAGGGUAUAAUUCUGCGUUGGAGAUUUAUAUUAAUGAUUUGGGCUAAUUGUUGUGCAUUUUAUUUUCAUGUGCAAUUCUAUAUUAAUGAUAUGUGCAUUGAUUAGUUAUGAUAAAUUAAUUUAUAUAUGUUAUGACUACAAAUUUAUUAUUCACAUAUGUUUAUAUAUAUGUAUACAUGUUUUCCAAACACAGUGUAAUUCCAUGUUUAACCUAGUAGAAUUGUGAAUUUAUUGAAUUCUUAAAAUAUAUGUUAUUUUAAAUAUAUGAUCCUUACGUUAUUAAUUAUGAUAUUAAUAAUAUGAUUAUGAAAAUAGUGAGCUUUCGAUUUUUGAUUUUAAAUAUGAUAUCAAAUCAUUGUUGGCAUAAUUAAUUGAUAUUAAGGAUAUGUAUAUAUGUUUUAGUCAUCAAUUAAAUGUGAAUAUGUGACUAAUAAAAUAUUUUUUUAUGUGAAAAAAAUAAGAAAUGACUAUUGCUGCCAAGAAUAUUGUGGCCGAGCUUAAUAUGAUCUUCUUAAGCCAACAAACCUAAAAUUAAUAUAUUCAUUGCUGUUGCACUUUAGGUCGUGGCGAAGAGACUUGUUUCUUUCUUCUGCAUCCGGGUUCGAUCUUCUCUGUGCAUGCCUGUAACCCCCGCGGUGUCUUACAUGUUCACUGGGCUUGCAGGAUAUUCAGUAGGUCCGAGGAUUAGUUGUGGUGCGCGUAAGCGUAAGCAUCAAAGUGAAUCUCAAUAUAAGCAAGGUAAAGAGAAAUCCAUGGAAAAGGAAAACAUUCUUUUAAGAAGAAAAGGAACAAUCACCAAGAGGUUCCUCUGGUCCACAAAGGGAUUUGAGUUUUGGACAUCUGCUGAUCUCAAGUUGCUUUAACUGGGGGAAAAUAUUUAGUGGGAAGAACUCAGGGGACAACAAGUAAUGCCAAUUUUUUUAAAAGUAGUGCAAGCAUAACCCCACUCUUCAAUUUCCUGACAUAUAAAAUUGAUGAUGGCAUGGAAUGAAUCGACUGUGAGACUUUGCGAGUCAGAAAACAAUUUCUCUAACUGCAACUUAUGAAAAUCAUUAGCCAACAUUAUUUUAUUAAUGCGUGCAGGAGACCAUCCAAAAGGUGGACCCAUAAGCUUACAUUUUGCAAUCUCAAGCUCCACUAAAGAAGGAAGGUCGCUGGGCAGUGUUGUUAGGCUCGAACACUUUUUUAUGCAAAGCACUUGAAGGCUUGGGAAAGCUCUGCCUUUAGAUUUCCAUUCACGCACUUACCAAAAAAAAAAGAUUUCCAUUCACGCCAUUGCAACAUCCUCUCAAAAGUUAGGCUUUCAAGGGAUUGGGAUGGGUUUCCUACGGUCGUGGGACUUCCAUAGAACUCAUAACCAACAGACUUUAAAUUAUAGAAGUCUUCAAUCAAGAGCCUUUUUAGAGUUUCUAACUGACCAAGAGAUGGUAAAGAAACACAUUAUUUACAUCCACUAAGCCUCAGAUCGACCAUAUUUUUGAAAGAAGUGUGUCCUAUCCAUCCUGGAAGUUUUUUACCUCUUUAACAAAUUAUAGAAAGAGUUUCCACUUUUGCACUAAGCCACAAUGCUUCAAGUACAUCUUCUUCUGUUAAAGAAUCAUCAGUAUCCCUCAUGUCACCCCAUCUUAACUCUAAUUCUUAAGAUCCUUGCCCUUCAAAUUGGCUUCAGAAGCAUUUAGACCAUGAAAAGCUCAAGCUUUACUAAAGAUAAUGCUCUUUAUAGUCCUAUCUCUUUCAUUCGAGUGCGCUUUCUAUCCCUUGUAUACUAGAUAAUACGCUUUCUAGUUAUAUUUAUGUUUCUUUCGAGUAUGUUUUUUAGUCCUCAUUUAUUAGAAAGUGUGCUUAAUAGUCAUAUCUCUUUUCUUUCAAUUGUGUUUUGUAGCCCUUAUAUACUAGAUAAUGCACUUUAUAGUAAUAUUCAUUUUUCUUUUGAGUGCGCUUUUUAGCCCUUGUAUACUAGAUAAUGUGCUUUUGAGCUCAAUCCAUCUUCCUUUUAAGUGCGCUUUCUAUCCCUCAUCCAUUAGAUAGUGCACCUUUUAACCUUAUCUUUUUUCCUUUCGAGUGCGCUUUCUAGCCCUCAUCCAUCAGAUAAUACACUUUCAAGUCCUAUCCUUUUCUUUUUAGUACGCUUUUUAGUCAUAUCAUUUUCUUCCCAAGUGCGCUUUAGAAAUCUCAAUUCUAACACUCUUGGAAAGAUUAACUAUUUUGUUAACUGUAAAUCUAUGAUGUUGUGUCUUUUCUUAUUUACAACUUACUAUUUAAAGUCUCUUAUAAAAUUUUUUGUCAUAGGCAUUAUAAAGAUGAAGCAACUGUUAUAACCUAAUUUUGGGAUCCCCCCAAAUUACAAGUUUUUUAAAUGAAAAGCAAUAAAAAAAUUGAAAAUGAAAAAGACUGAUAAAUUAAAAAAAAAAAAAACAAGUUGAGAAGGGUUUCAAAUGCAUGGAGGAACCAAGCUGGAGUUUUAGACAAAAUUGGAAUCCUAAUUGUACCUAUUUGUACCCAAGAUCAAUAAAGGGCAAAUUAAAUUAUUAUUGGAUUAAUUUGUAUUUUAAUAGGUCAACUUGAGUUAAUCAUGACCCUACUUAAAGGUUUUAUUAAGUUUAAAAAUUAAUUUGGGUCAAAUUAAGAGAAAUAAUUAAGUGUAAGGACUUAAUUAGACUUUUAAUAGGUUAAAGUUAUUUUUAUUAGGAAUUUAAUUGGUGAAAAAUUAAGUUUGAAAGCUUAAUUUGGGCUUAAUUGAGAAUAUUGAAAUUUUAGAUGAUCAAAUUUAUUAUUUUUAAGCUUAAUUGUUUGAAUUCAGGGAUAUAAUUGCAAGAAAAUCAAAGUUUAGUGGUCCAUCAAGGGUCAAAUUAAAGAAAUUCAAGACUAAGAAUCUUUAUGCAAAGGAGCAAAAAUUUAGGUCUCAAAUUCGGUUGAAAACAAGGAUGAAAUUCAAAAAAUUAAAAGUUUGAAAUUCAAUUAAAAAUAAAAUCAAAGAACCUUUAUGUAAAAGCAACGUGUUUUUCGAAGCCAUCUCUCCCCUCCACAUCCCUCACACCAUGACACUAAACAUACCUCUCUUGUGACCUGCUACUGUACCCCCAUCAAGAGCAGAAAAACAAGUCCUUUGGCAGUACUAAGAACACUGCCAAUCCGGCUUUUGUGGCUUUGUUUGGACAUGAGAAGCGUAGGCCAACACGUCCCUCACCCUCUAUAAAUGCCAACCUCAUGGCAACCAUAUGGCAGGGGGGAUAAAAAAAAGAAAAAAGAAGAUCAAACACUACACCAACACUAAACCCUCUCUACACCGACGACCUCACAAAAAUCAAACAACCUCAAUCCCUGUCCCAAAGAACAACAACUAGAGACCAUUGAAAGAGCAAUCACAGCAACAUUUGUUUUUCUCUCCUAGCCUUCAUUCCUCCAUCGAUACUCUCUUGUGCACCAGCAACAGCCUUGACAGAUCAAAAUUCAUUUUGUUAUGUUCCAAUUCGUGAGUUUGAGAGAGAAAGAAGAAAGUCACUUAAUAUUGGGUGAGGAGAGAGAAAGAGAUAGAUUGCCACAAUUCGAUAAUAAAAAAAUUGAUUUGGUUCCACUUGCCGAGAGUGGAAUUUCAUUGUGGUUUCACACCUUUUAUCUUAUCAGACAAAUAUAGAUCGAAGCUUGUAAUUUUUUUUUGAAUUGGAUGAUUUCUUAGUUUUUUUACCGGUUAAAAGUUGAUUUGAUGUUCGAUUUGAAUUUAUUGAGAAGUGUGGAGGUAUUUAUUAGGUGUUUUUAAGUGAAAAAUAACAAAAAAAAUAUAUUUGAGUUUAAGAGAAUGAAACCUAACUUUUAGAUCACCUAAUUUAGCCGGAAAGGUUACCAAUUUAUCUUUUCACAAUACAAGAUUAUAUAUUUUAAAUUGCAUUUAUCUUCUAAUUUUUUGAUUUAAUAUUUAAUUACUAUCACAACUCUUUUAAAUAAUUAUCACUGCACAUUAUUAUCAAUUUAUUUUAUUAAAUACACAUGUUAAAUUUUUAAUUCAUAGUUAGUUUUCUUAUAUGUUAAAAAAAACACUAACAGCCCCUAUCUUUUUUUUACUACAAAAAAUAAUGUUUGAUUCACUCGUUAUGAAGUUGCUAGUUAAGUUAUCAUGCAUUGAAGAGGUUGAGUUUUAGAGGUGAGUAUGAUAGGUAAUAAUAUAUAUGCCUUUUGUUUUGAAACUUUAAUUUCAAUUUAAAACUAUUUAAAGUGGAUUAGAAUUGAUUUUGAAGUUAAAAAUGGGUUUAUAUAAACUAUUAGGAUGGGUUUGAGAUUCUUAAGCUGAAAAUGAUUGAAAAUGGCAUUUUUGAUACCCAUGGAUGGUGGCUCUCGAUUUUCUAGCUAUCGAAGCGUCGCUUAGAAAACAUAGCAGGAAUCAUACCCACAGUAUAGCUCGGAUGCAUUGGCUGAUUGAUCAAGAAAGGGUUCUACGAAACUACAAAAUUAACCAUUGCCACUCAUCUUCUAGAGUGAAGGAACCCUUCUCCAGAUCUGGUCAUAGUUUUUUGGAUAAUUCAAACUCAUUUUUUUGGAUAACAAAAAGAUUGCUGUUACCUGAAAAAAUGAAGUCGAAUGAAGGUUUACAAGGUCAAAGACAGCGAUCAAACACUCAUAAAUGCAAUGAAUCAGCUUGUCUUGGACUUCCCACAGAUACACCUGUUUUCUACCACACUUAUUUUGGGACUCAUUAUAUCUGAAAAUGUCUUCAGCAAAGCAUAUUCUCCUUCUUCUUCAUUUUUUAAUCUUUUGAUAUGCAUAUUAAUUCAACAUUACAUAAGGGCUAAGGCUUUUGUGAAUAAGGGGCUAUUCACACAAAAGAAUAAAAAGCCAUGAACAAAUGUGCAGCAGACAUCCAUCAAUGCAAGAAAUGCCCAUUUUCAAGAACUCUAAGCAACUCCUAAAUCCAGAACAAAACCCUCAAAUAUCAAAUCUUUAUAUGUUUGAAUAUCUAAAAAGAAGAAAAAGCAACCAAAUCUUUAUAUGAACUUGACAUCCAUCAAUGCAACAGCGUCACCGUUUUAUCCGGGAGCACGAGCACUUGUCUGAGCAGCAUCUGCUUGAGCUGCCGCCUGAGCAGCUAAUAAUCUGAUCAAUCAAUACUAACUACAAACGUAGUCAAAUUGUAUCCUAUUUGAUGUUAUUUUCGAUGCAACUGUCAGUCCGCUAAACAAUAUUUGCUUGAUCUUGCACAACCAACAUACAUACAUGAAGAAAAGAAGUAUUCUUUUUCCAUUCCAAUAGCCAAAAAAAAAAAAAAAGGCAAUCACAUUUCCAUGUUCUUCAAAGCUAUUUGUUAUGCAACUUCCUCACCAACUGUUAACACUCAUUAAUCUCUAACAGCAGUAGACAUAUAUGAAGAAGAAAUCAACAAUAUUCAUCCCACUUUAACACCCCAAAAAAGGUGGGUUAGAAAUCACCCCACCCACCUUCACUAACUUUCCUUACCUUUUGAUAGCCAACAAUACAACGCGAAGAAAAUAAGUGUUCUUUUCCCAUUUUCAAAGCUAAAAAAAAAAAAAAAAAGAGUAAAUGAAGAAGUAUGGUGUGUGGUAUCUGAGUUUAUCCUAUGUCGGGUUCUAUCAAAAGCUGGUUUUUGCUUGGUGAGACCAGGUGUAUUUAUACAUUAACUUCAAAUUUUUUUAUGAAGAAGAAAAUCAUGUCAUUAGCUAACCAAGAUGGCUCGUUAAAGCGAGCUUGGGUUUUGUGCCUAGCUUGAUGAAGCAGCUUGGAAGAGAUCGAAGUUGGUGUGCCAGUGUAACAGGGUAUUUACACACCAACUUAAAACUUCAUUUGCUUUUUUAAAAAAAAAAAUCUUUAGUUAAUAAUAAAUCUCACAAUUAUUAAUUAUUGGUUAUAUAUACUUUUUUACUAUGUAUCAUAUUGGUGCCCACCAGUGCAGUUUCAUCCCUCAGCAGGGUCUGGAUCCAGCAGACCAGCAAAGACAGCAGCUUGUUCUUUAGUCUUGCCAUCAGCAAUGUGAGCAACAGCUUCGUCAGUUAAGCCGGCACUAAAAUCAUGGGAUGUUUUUUAAAUGGAAAGAGUGAAAUUAAAUUGAUUUUUAGAAUCAAAAUUUAAUUACGGAUCUCAUUGAAUAAAUAAAAAAAUUACGGAUUGAAAUCGAGAGGAGAUUUAAACCUAAUUUGAAUCUAAAGAGCCAAAACCACUCUGUUUGAUUUAAAUCGAAUGGCAUGUUUUGCAUAAAAUGACAUGGUUUUGGUAAUUAAUUAAUUAAUAAAUAAAAGAAGCGAGAAAAAGAAAAGAAGGAAAAGACGUCGUUUUACUGUGCACCGUGUUCUUUCUCUGUGCCAGAUUUUGAAGAUAAGAGAUGGUUUUUCCCCUUUGUUUAAACCCUUUUUUUAGGCCCUCUCUCUCCUCCAUGAUAUUAGCUCGGAAAGAGUGCAACAACAGAUAUAUUAUGCAUAAAUAAUAUGUAAAAUGAGUUGUCUAUGUAAACGGUGUUCUAUCGAUUUAUAAGAUAGCUAGGUAGGUGUUGUUAUGAUAUGUGUUUUACUGACAAUUUAUAAUUAAGAAAUGGUAGGCAUUAUAUAAUUAACAAUUUGUGAGAAAGGAUAGCAGUACCAUACUAAUAACAAUUGUUUGGUCUGAGUUGUUUAAGUGGUGACCCAUACUAGUAGCAGUUGUUAAGUCAGGUCUAAAGAUAUUCGCACUCUCUCUUUUCUAUGAGGCCUUUGGCCCCAUCAUGUAUAAAGAAAUAUUUCCAAGGAAUCCUAGAGAUCGAAAUUCUCUCCAUCUGUGCAACUUCCCUUGGAUUCUCGCUUUUCGUCCUCACCAUUCUAAUGAUAUGCUUCCCGAUGACGUGCGAAGUAGAAACCGACAGCUUGGCCAAGUAGCAGUUGUUAAGUCAGGUCUAAAGAUAUUCGCUCUCUCUCUUUUUUAUGGGUCCUUUGGCCCCAUCAUGUAUAAUGAAAGAUUCAUUUGUGAAUGAAAAAUAGAGCUUUGUUCCAUUAGGAGUUGAAACCACCUAACUUGGCUUAAUUAGAUGUGACUAUAGAAAAAUCUAACAAUAAAUUUCAUUAAUCGUAUUUAAUGUGAUGAAUGUUCUUUGUAGCAGACGUACGUGAAGUGAUUUGAAAAAUAUAAAUAUUGAGUUUUAGAAACAUACAUUUCGUGAAAAUAAUUAUAUAAACACUUAUUGCACUAACCAAUAGCUAGCAGUUCAUACAUUAAAGUGUCCUUUCAUUCAUAUUAGUCUAACAUAGUGAUUCCUUUCUUUAUCCUCAUACUUUUUGUUAUUGAUUGCAUCCUUUAGUUUGUUGUUUGUUGGUUUUUUUUUAUUAGUAGUCUCUUUUAUUGGCAUGUUCUUGGUAAUCGAAGGUUUUUAUCAUAUUUUGAAACUUGAUUUGAGAUCAAUUUAAAUUUAAUGAGAUGAUGUUUGAAUUUUUUCCAUAAAGACAAAAUUUAGAAAAAAGGAUUAAAAAAAAUGCACUUUUGUCCCUUUUUCUUUACAUAUUUUUACUUUUGUUCCUUUAGUUUUAGCAUUUUAGGUUUUGGUCCAAAAUUCAUUAUGUUAUGUGUCGCACGUGUGCGGCGUCGCGGCAAAAACAUCCACCCUCAUAAUUUUCUUAUUAUCUAAUGUUAUCUAAAAAUGUGGCAAAUGUGGGGAGACAAUGAAUUCUUGUCUUUUAUUAGUGGAAAAAUGGGAGUCGCCACCUAGUAUUUUGGUCACUAGGAACCCUAACUGGUCUCAGAGAUCAGGUACGGGGACUGGUUGCGUAAAGGGAAGGUAUUAGCACCCCAAAUACGCCCUACCUAAGGUAAGCUGCAUUGUUUUAUUGUCUGAUAAAAUCUAAGGUCUUGUCGUGUUUUCUAGUUGUUGGUUCGUCUAUGGUUCAAGAAAAGUCUUCCUCGGUAAGGAGAUUCUUAUCUUAUCGGGUAAUUUUGAUGUCAACAAAAGAAAUUUAAUAUCCGGAAUACGUCUUAUGUAUAAGGUCGUAACCCCAGAUAUUAAAAGAAAACAAAAUAAUUUUUUUGGAAUUUUUGAAAUAUUGGCCUAGUUCUCGUGACUUUAAUAAACUGGUUAUUAAAACCAAAAUGCAUGCUAAUACAUAUUUUUGAACUUUUCUUUGUUAUAUGAAAAUACAAUAUGAAUUUUUUUUAAUUUUUGAGAGACUUGGCCGUAUGCAUGAAAACAAAAUAUUUUUUUAUGUUUUGACAAAAACCAGGUAUUUCAAUACCAGAUUUGUAUCUUUACAAUAUAAAAAUACAAACCAAUAUUGAUCAAAAUGCAGUAAAAUAUUUGCGGAAAAUCACAGAUUUUUUUUUAAAUAAUUUUUGAAGAAAUUUUUUUUUCUUUUUUUCGGGCUGGGCUGGACCCAACCACCCAUGUGGCUUGACCCAACUAAGCCAUGCACGCGUAAAAUUCUACGCGUGCAUAUAUUACCUUCGCACUGUUCAUCCUUCGUUUUUUCGUGCACCAGCAACAGCCUUGACAGAUCAAAAUUCAUUUUGUUAUGUUCAAAUUCGUGAGUUUGAGAGAGAAAAAAGAAAGUCACUUACUAUUGGGUGAGGUCUUAGUUUUUUCACCGGUUAAAAGUUGUUUCAAUAUUUGAUAUUAAAAAGUGUAGGGUGUUUAUUAGGUGUUUUCAAGUGAAAAAUUAAAAAAAAAAGUUUUUUUAGGUUCAAGAAAAUGAAACCUAACUUUGAGACCACCUAACUUGGCCGGAAAGGUUACCAAUUUAUCUCCCCGUAAUACGAGAUCAAAUAUUUUAAAUUGUAUUUAUCUUCUACUUUUAUAUUUAAUAUUUAAUUAUUAUUAACAACUCUUUUUAAUAAUUAUCAGCACAUAUUAUUAUCGAUUUAUUCUAUUAAAUACAUAUGUCAAAUUUUUAAUUCAUAGUUUGUUUUUUUAUACACUAAAAAACUAUUAACAAUCCCUAUCUUUUUUUUAUUAAAAGAAUAAUGUUUGAUCUCACUCGCUGUGAAGUUGCUAGUUACGUUAUCAUGUAUUGAAGUGGUUUGGUUUUAGAGGUAGGUAUGAUGGGUAAUAAUAUAUAUGUAUUUUGUUUCGAGAUUUUAAUUUCAAUUUAAAACCAUUUAAAGUGGAUUAGAAUUGAUUUUUAAGUUAAAAAUGGGUCUAUAGAAACUAUUAGGAUGGGUUUGAGGUUUUUAUGCUGAAAAUGAUUGAAAAUGGCCUUCGAUUAAUUAUAUUAUUAAAUUAACUAAUUUUAUUUAAUAUAAUCAAGUUAAUCACCAAAAUCUUAUAUUUUUUUUAAAGUAGUCUCAACAUUAUUUUUCCAUGUUAAAAAAAUCACACGGUAGAUAGCAAUCCGCGAGCCACCUAAUACUAAUACAUCAUUAGCUAACAUCCACUGGAGGAUUUAUUUUAUUGAAUAUAUAUAUAUAUAUAUAUAUAUAUAGACACACACAUCAAUCUUGGGUUCCCACUAGGAAAUUUUCUAGCUAUCGAAGCGUCGCUUAGAAAACAUAGCAGGAAUCAUACCCACAGUAUAGCUCGGAUGCAUUGGCUGAUUGAUCAAGAAAGGGUUCUACGAAUCUAAUAUAGUUUGUUUUCACUUGACUACAAAAUUAACAAAGGCCACUCAUCUUCUAGAGUGAAGGAACCCUUCUCCAAUAUCAAAUCUUUAUAUGUUUGAAUAUCUAAAAAGAAGAAAAGGCAACCAAAUUUUCAAGCUUUUUCCCUCUAUUUUUUUUUUUUGGGGGGGGGGGGGGGGAGCAAAAAAGGUCAUGGAUUUUUGCCAUUUUUUGGUUACAUGGAGAGCAGGGGGAUCUCAUUAAAGCAAAUAAUUCAUCAAUCAUAAUCAAAACUCAAAACAAAGCAUGCAAGUACAAGUACACCAUGAAUUUUAAUGUUGAUGGUAAAAAAUUAAAAAUGGUGUAAAUUGAGAUGGAGAGCUAAAUAUAUAAAAAGACCAAAAAACAAAACGAAUGCUAUAAUCAAAUUUCGAACAUCUAAAAGGUAUCUUGUGUGCGACUAUUUCCAUGUCAUUAUGUACGACAGAAAAAAGAGAGGAUGCUAUAAAAGAAUGUGUGGAACCAAGUGAAACAAUGAACAUCCAAAAGGGGAGUUUGAAAUUGAUGAAUUAAAUUUUUAUCUCUAUAUUUUUUUAAAAAAAUUAUAAAUAUAAAUUUUCAGGAAUAUAAAUAUAUUACAAUGAAAGCAUGUUAAGUUCGACGCUAGUCAGACCCGUGCAUGUUAGACUUAACAAUAUACCAAGCCUCAAACAUGUUAGGUCCGACAAUGUGAAAUGACCUUCCUCUCUUUUAGACUAAAUAUAUUGUUUUAAACAACAAUAAUUUAUACAUUAAAGGGUCUUUUCGAUCCUACUAGACCAACAAAAUUAUAUAAAUAUUUAAAACAAAGCUAUUAAUAUGAUAUUUAUUAUGGAUUAUAUUCUAUUAUGCCUUUCAUUGUUAAAUUUUGUCAUCCAAUUUAUAAUUUGAAGUCAUUGGAGCAUAGCUAUUUGAAUAGCUAAAAUAGCAUCUUCUUACCAAGCUUACCGAUCGAGCCAAAAGCAAGUUGAAAGUAUAUAUACCCGCUAGUCAACAUACCUCAAUUGUGAUGUGUGUGGCUCAACCCCUGCUCUUGACAGGAAGGUGCCUCUGCUCGCAAUGCGCGUUCCAUAUCCCUUUCAUAUCUCUUCUCACUUUUUCUCCACUGAAACUCCAUCUUCUUUACAGUGUAAGAAAAAGAUCCGUAAGAAAAUCCAGGAAACUUACCAGUACGAGUUCUUGACCUAAAGGAACCGGAACAAAUUCAAAGUCAUUGGAAUAAAAAGAAAGAAAAAGGCUUUCGAAGUUGGUUACUAAGGCUAAGUUUGUUUUCCGGAAUUUAUUUUCUAGAAAACUAUUUUCCAAACUUUCUUGUGUUUGUUUGUCAUUAGAAAAGUUAGUCAACGAAAAAUACUUUUCAGUCAAAGGAAAAUUUGACUUGGUUUACAGGAAAAUAUUUUCCUGAAAAAUUUGAGCGGAAAACACUUUCCGGAAGUUGUGAAAAAUUUAGAAAUGUCAAAUUUGAUCCUCAAACUUUUGAUUGCUAUAUAUAUUUUGUUUUGAAUAUUUAUUUUUCAAUUUCAUCUCUUAAAAUUUAAUUUUUAUAAACUUUGGUCCUCAUUUUUAUAAUUGUUAUUUGCUUUUCCCUUAUCAUUUUUUUAUUGAAAUUUUUUAUGUAUCAAAUUUGAUCCUCAUUCUUUUGAUUGUUACUUAUUUUAUUUGAAAUAAUUUAUGAAAUGUUAAUUAUUAUUAUUUUAAUUUCUUCAUCUUUUUUUUUAGAUUUGAUCUCUAUUAUUUUGAUUAUUAUUUAUUUUAUUUGAGAUAAUUUAUGAAAUUAUAUUUUUUUUUCAAUUUCAUUCUCAUUCAACUUUUUAAUUUGUAAGAUUUGUUUCUCAUUAUUUUAAUAAACUUGAGAAAAAUAAAAUAUUAAUAAGUUAUUUUCCAACUCAUUUUCCAUGACAUAACCAAAUACUGAAAAGUGUUUUCCAACUUAUUUUCCAUUACACUACCAAACAUCAGAAAAUAAUUUACUUUAAAAAAAAAACUACUUUCCAGCAAACAAACAGAGCCUAAGAUACCAGAAGAAAAAGAAAUAUUGGGCGUGGCCUGGAUCUUGUGCCUCUUUAGCCAACACUUACCACCCGGUUUGUUUCGUCUAGAUUCGUGAAAUACUCGUAGAAAUUUGGUGUUUUCUGAUUUCUAAGUAGAAUUGUACAUGUUCCAGCUUGGAAUUGCUAAUUGGUAGAUUUGAUUGCCAAAUUUCUUGAUCUUACCUUCUGUUUCAUGUUUGACCACAGGAGCAGGCCUUACACAAAAUAGCGUGGAAAGCAAUUGCUGAACCAAGCGAGCUAGUUGAGGCCAGAAGGGAUCGGUACUAGUUUAUCGCUAUUGGGAUUUUCAUGGCUUCCAGCAGCAUGCAAGGAAUAACCUCAUCUUCAUCUCCUCCUCCUCCACUAUAUAUGCAUGAUGUGUUCCUUAGUUUUAGAGGCAAAGACACGCGGAACAACUUUACUAGUCAUCUACAAACUAAUCUGGCACAGAGAGGCAUCGAUGCAUACAUGGAUGAUAGGGAGCUCGAGAGAGGAAAGACCAUUGAACCUGCUCUCUGGAAGGCCAUCGAAGAAUCAAGGUUUUCUGUCAUUAUAUUUUCAAGAGAUUACGCUUCUUCACCAUGGUGCUUGGAUGAACUUGUCAAGAUUGUUCAGUGCAUGAAAGAGAUGGGGCACACUGUUCUGCCAGUUUUUUAUGAUGUGGAUCCCUCAGAGACAUAUGAGAAAGCCUUCGUUGAGCAUGAACAAAAUUUCAAGGAAAAUCUGGAGAAGGUCCAGAUCUGGAAAGAUUGUCUCUCUACGGUGACCAAUCUAUCAGGCUGGGACAUACGGAAUAGGUAAAUCAUCUAUCUACUUAUUCUUAUUCUCAAAUCCUCCCUGUAUUGUUUCAAUGAUGAUCAUAGCUUUACAAACAACGCCCUGCAUGCCAUAGAGAUGAACAAUUUUUUUUCCUAACCAAUUGUAAAUCAAAGUGCACAAGCCCUGACCAGUAAGAAACUGGGAACAACACCCAAUAGCUACUGUAGUGAAUCCAAGCUCGUCUUUCCCUUUUUUUUUUUUUUUUUUAAACUCAUGAGCUAUAAAUACAUAAUGAGAUUUUUAGAAUAAAGAUUCAUAAUUUUCUUUUUUUAUUGAAUAUAUAAUUUCAAAGCAUCUUUCUAAAAUAUUAUUUUAUUUCUUUUAAAAAAUAUAUUUAUAUAAGCAUCGAAUUUCAUUAUAAAUCAUGUUCAAAAAAAAAAAUUCAGCAAGCAAGCUAUAAAGGGGUCUAUAUUUGCUUUCAUUAACUAAAAUAGCAAUAGCAACACAAUCCAUAUACAUAGUUGGAAAUUGAUGAUCGUCCUGAUAAUUAAAAAAAAAAAAAAAACAGGAAGCAUUACAAACAACGCCAUAGAGAUGAACGAUUUAUUUUUUUCCAACCAACUGUAAAUCAAAGUGCACAAGCCUGACCAAUAAGAAACUGGGAACAACACGCAAUAGCUAUACUGAACAAAUAAAUCAAACCGCGAAAUACAUGAAACUGGAGACGGUCAACAAAAACCAAACAAGACAAACUUAUAGUGCUGGAACCAUCAUCAUCACCCCAUCUUUUUUUUUUCUCUCUGUCCCCUUUUAGGAACCACAAUUCUACACUUCUCUUCCCACUUUAUCCUCCCAUCUCAUCUCUUUUUUUAUCCCUGUUAAAAAGACCAAAACAGCCCUAAAAAACAACCUUACUUUCCAACAAACCAAAGACAAAACCUACAGUGUUUUACCAGUUACAGUGAUUUCACUGCAUGUUUUAGCUUUUUGUUAAUUAAUAUAUUUUAUGUGAAAAAAAUAAUAUAAAUAUUUAAAACAAAGCUAUUUUCUAACUUUUACACUAAAUAUAUUAUUUUAAACAACGACAAUCUAUACAUUAAAGGGUCUUUUUGAUCCUACUAGACCAACAAAAUUAUAUAAAUAUUUAAAACAAAGCUAUUAAUAUGAUAUUUAUUAUUGAUUAUAUUUUAUUAUGCCUUUCAUUGUUAAAUUUUGUCAUCCAGAUUAUAAUUUGAAGUCGUUGGAGCAUAGUUAUUUGAAUAGCUAAAAUACAUUUUCUUUUACUAAAAUUCUAUUUUUACAUAUCUACGUAGCAUAGCCAAAACCAAAAGGAAAGUAUAUAUACUCGUUAGCCAACAUAUUUUUAUCUAUAAUUAGCAUUUGUUUGUCUCUUUAAAAACAGAACAAUAGAAAAAAAAAGCCUGUAAAUCUCAGAGCCUAAAAAAUUUGAUAGUAUAUAUAAAACUGAAAAUUAAAAAUAUUCAUAAAAUUUUGAUUUUAGAAAUUUAAAAUUUAAACUUCAAAUUAUAUCUUUUAACUUUGAUAUUACUUUAUUAAUUUUAUAAAUUACUUAUAUUAAUUAAUUGUAUAAUUGAUAACAUGAUUGUAUUAUAUAUAAAAUAAUUAAACUAGUUAUAUAACUAUAUUAAAAUAAGUUUAAUAUAAAAUAUAUUAAAAUAUAAUUAACUCUCCUAAAUAACUUUUUACCAUUAAAAUUGGACAUAAAAAAACUAUAUUUACAUCCAUUUUUAUCAAUUUAAUUUUUAACUUCUAAAAAUAGCAUGUCUUAUUGAAGUUGCUCUUAUGCAGAAUUACAAGGGCCAAAGGGAAAGAGACAAAAGAAGUCCAAAAAUAUUUAUUUUAAACAUAGAUGCUUGACUUGAAAAUUCAUUACAAAACACGAAUCAACUCAAUUAAUUGUGAUGUGCGUGGCCCAACCCCUGCUCUUGACAGGAAGGUGCCUCUGCUGCCCAAUGCGCGUUCGAUAUCCCUUUCAUUUCUUUCUCUACUGUUUCUCCACCGAAAGUCCAACUUCUUUACAGUGUAAGAUCCGUAAGAAAAUCAUUGGAAACUUACCAAUACGAGUUCUUGACCUAAAGGAACCGGAAAAAAUUCGAUGUCAUUGGAAUAAAAAGAAAGUCAAGGGCUUUGGAAGUUGGUUACUAAGAUACCAGAAGAAGAAAAAAUAUUGAGCCUGGCUGGAUCUUGUGCCUCUUUAGCCAACACUUACCACACGGUUUGUUUCGUCUAGAUUCGUGUAAUACUUGUAGAAAUUUGGUGUUUUCUGAUUUAUGAGUAGAAUUGUACAUGUUCCAGCUUGAAAUUGCUAAUUGGUAGAUUUAAUUGCCAAAUUUCUUGAUCUUACCUUCUGUUUCAUGUUUGACCACAGGAGCAGGCCUUAUACAAAAUAGCGUGGAAAGCAAUUGCUGAACCAAGCGAGCUAGUUGAAGCCAGAAGGGAUCGGUACUAGUUAAUUUAUCGCUAUAGGGAUUUUCAUGGCUUCCACCAGCGUGCAAGGAAUAACCUCAUCUUCAUCUUCUCCUCCUCCACUAUAUAUGCAUGAUGUGUUCCUUAGUUUUAGAGGCAAAGACACCCGGAACAACUUUACUAGUCAUCUAUGUUCUAAUCUGGCACAGAGAGGCAUCGAUGUGUACGUGGAUGAUAGGGAGCUCGAGAGAGGAAAGACCAUCGAACCUGCUCUCUGGAAGGCCAUCGAAGAAUCAAGGUUUUCUGUCAUUAUAUUUUCACGAGAUUACGCUUCUUCACCAUGGUGCCUGGAUGAACUUGUCAAGAUUGUUCAGUGCAUGAAAGAGACGGGGCACACUGUUCUGCCAGUUUUUUAUGAUGUGGAUCCCUCAGAGGUAGCCGAGCAGAAAGGGCAAUAUGAGAAAGCCUUCGGUGAGCAUGAACAAAAUUUCAAGGAAAACUUGGAGAAGGUCCGGAACUGGAAAGAUUGUCUCUCUACGGUGGCUAAUCUAUCAGGCUGGGACGUGCGAGAUAGGUAAAUCAUCUAUCUACUUAUUCUUAUUCUCAAAUCCUCACUGUAUUGUUUCAAUGAUGAUCAUAGCUUCUUUUUUUUUUUUUCAAUUUAAACGUGUGAUUAAAUAUCGAAAUAAUCACAAUACAACAAGAGUUUCAAAACUAAUUCUUGAGUAAAUAAUUAUUAGUAUAUAUUUCCUGUAAAAUUAAAAAUACUUACCUUAUCUUCAAGGGCUUAUUCAUGCUUCUUCUUUUUUUGUGAUAAAAAAAAAGAAAGUGGUUGGCUUGUUUGUAGAACACACAGAAAGUUGCCUUAUUUAAGCAGCACGAGCAAUGACUUAUUAAAUCACCAAUUUGUGCUUCAGAUCGCGAGUUUCACAUGUUAAUUAUAGUUAUUCCAAGUCGAUCUAGUAUUUUGUCAUCACAAUUAUAUUUUUAAUUAAAUAUAUCAUUCAAUAUAUUAUUAUCUUAAUAUUUUAAAAGUGUUUUUAUAGCAUGUAUUGAAUUUUUUACUGUCAAAUAUUAUUAUAUUUUUUAAAGGUUAGAAACAAAUAAUAGGUUAAAGAACUACACGUUGAAGUGAAGUUUUCAACAAGUGGCAACUUAUCAUUAGUAUUUUUAAAAGGUUAUCAUCUAUGGUUCAGUUUUUAAGGUAUGACAUAUAAGCUACAUGAUUAUUUCUCAAAAUACUAUAGGUGGGAAAAAAACUUUUCAAAGUAGCACGGUUUCAUCCAUAGUUAAAGAAAAAAAUAAGGGAAGGAAAACCCAGCGUGACCCGGGGACCCUGUUAACUCGACAAGACCCGUUCAAAACCUGGUUGCGACCCAUUAAUUUUUUUUUACUCAAACGACGUCGUUUUGAUUUUUUUAAAAAAAAAUUGACCUGGACCUUGGACCGGACCGGCCACCAAGCCGGGUCUCAAAACUAUGGUUUCAUCAAUUGCAUAGGUCUCACUUACGCAACUUGACACAUCCAGGUCUCACAUGUCAAAAAAAAUCUUCCUUUCUUUUUUUGUUGGGUUGGUCCCUCAAUUUUUAUAUUUAGUUAACUUUAGUACUAUUAUUACGAUCAUUUCAUCUAUUCUUCUGCACACAGAAAAAUAUAUGAAUUAAAGUUAAUAUUUAUUUCAAAUGCAAUCGCUAAAAACGAGUUAAUUUUUGCCUAAAAUAUUGUUAUGUUUUUGCCCAACUUAAAUAAAAAUAAGUUUAUAUUAAUGAAAUGAUCAUUAUAUUGAAAUUAAUAUUAAGAUUGUAUGAAAAUUGAAAGGCCAAAUGAAAGAUUAAAUAGAGAAGAAAGAUGAAGAAAUGGGUUGUGAAAAUGGCAUACGUGAUAUCAGUGCAUCUCAAGGUGCGUGAAUUGGAUUUGCGCAACCACUUCAAAGGUUAGUCUGGGAAAUGUUUUUUGGGCUAUGCUAAUAUGGAAAAAACUCAAAAUUUAAUAAAUUUAAAGUUGUUUUUGUAAAGUUAAUUAUGCAAGAUAAUUGAAUUUUUUGUUAAAGAUAAUUAUAAAAAUAACUUAGUGGUCGAAAAAAAAUAUAAUAGAAUUCCAUUUGCUUUUUGGCCUGUUAAAACCAAACUUAAUGGAUAUUUUAUUUCCUAGCUUUUGUCCAUGCUUCUUUAGUAACUGUGUGAUUCCAUAGGCAAUAAGAUAGCUAUUGUAAGGAUCAUUCUUAGCAUCAAUACAAUCCUAGUUCCUUUUUCAGUUUAUUCUUUCCUUUUCCUCUCUGUUCUUGAAGCUAUCUAUUGUCAGAGCCCUAUCUUUCUCAAAGGUUGGUGUAUUAAUUUCCGGCUAACAGCCAUACAUUUUCGAGCUACAAUAUGCUAAUGUUUAUUUUCCUAUUAUCACUAUCUGAUUUGAUUUCUGCACACUGCAUGAUUAAUGUUUUGCACCCUCCUAUGCAGGAAUGAGUCGGAAUCAAUUAAAAUAAUUGCUGAAUACAUAUCGUACAAACUAAGCGUCACUCUGCCAACAAUUAGCAAAAAAUUGGUUGGAAUAGAUUCUCGUCUAGAGGUAUUAAAUGGCUAUAUAGGUGAAGAAGUAGGCAAAGCAAUCUUCAUAGGGAUAUGUGGAAUGGGUGGCUUGGGUAAGACGACUGUUGCAAGGGUAGUAUAUGAUAGGAUUCGUUGGCAAUUUGAAGGCAGCUGCUUCUUAGCAAAUGUCAGAGAAGUUUUUGCUGAGAAAGAUGGACCACGUCGUUUGCAGGAACAACUUCUUUCUGAAAUCUUAAUGGAACGUGCUUCUGUAUGGGAUUCUUAUAGAGGGAUUGAGAUGAUAAAGCGGAGGUUACGACUUAAAAAGAUUCUUCUUAUCCUUGAUGAUGUAGAUGAAAAAGAACAACUAGAAUUCUUGGCUGAGGAGCCUGGAUGGUUUGGUCCAGGGAGCAGAAUUAUCAUAACAAGCAGAGAUAAACAAGUGUUGACUAGAAAUGGUGUUGCUAGAAUUUAUGAGGCUGAGAAAUUGAAUGAUGAUGAUGCUCUUACGUUGUUUAGCCAGAAAGCUUUCAAAAAUGACCAACCUGCUGAAGAUUUCGUGGAACUAUCCAAGCAAGUUGUGGGUUAUGCUACUGGCCUUCCACUGGCUCUUGAAGUUAUGGGUACCUUUAUGCAUGGAAGAAGUAUCCUUGAAUGGGGAAGUGCGAUUAAUAGACUAAAUGAUAUUCCUGACCGUGAAAUUAUUGAUGUGCUUCGGAUUAGUUUUGAUGGUCUCCAUGAAUCAGAUAAGAAAAUAUUUUAGACAUUGCAUGUCUCCUCGAGGAGCAGCAGCUGCAGCUCGAGCAUAAGCUGAUGCUCGAUCAGCAGCAGAAGUUCCAUUAGCAGGUGCUUCAGCAGUGGCGGCAGCAGCAGCUCGAUGAGCAGCUGCUCCAGCAGCAGCAGGUGCUGCUCCAGCGGCAGCAAGUGCAGCAGCUCCCUGGGUUCUGGUUAGGAAUUUAACUUGCUUUAGCUUGAAGAUCUUCGUCAGUUUUUGCUCAUGGUUUUGGUUUGGGGUAAUUAGAUUCACAUUUUACUAUGUAUGGAUUUUCUUCUUAAAUUUAGGAUAAUCUCAUGUUUGCGGAUGGAAGGAUUGUUUCCAUAUUAAAACUUUUACAUGGCGGAAAGCCUGUGCUCUGGAAAAUUUCAACCAUUAUUUUGGAAUAGCUACUCUGCCUACUUUUUUUACUCUGGUUUUGGCGGGUAUAUGUGUUAGAUUUAAAUUAAAAACAAUAUAUAUUUCUAAAAGAUAAAACCAAUAAUUUCUUAUCAAUAUGAUUUUUUUUUCAUCAAUUUUAUUCAGAAUUCUUUGAAAUUAAUUUUUUAUUUAUCCAUAAUUAAUUUUAAGUAUUUUAAUAUUUCAUGUUAUAAUUAAUAUUCAUUCAAAAAAAUAUUUUUCAACAAAAUCUUAACUCAUUAAUUUAAUUUUUUAUUAAAAUUUAAAUACAAUAACUACGUUUUAAAACUAAUUUCUCCUAACUGUCAAAUAAUCAAUUCAAUCUAAUAACUUAAGCUGUUAAGUGAAGUCUCAAGAUAUGAUUUAUAUUAUUCUCUAACACCCCACUCAAGUAGAAGUAUUUUGGACUUGAAUUUGUAUAAGGUCACAUUACCUUAUGUUUAAUUUUUAUUAAAUAAAUGAGAAUGAUGAAAUUUGAACUCGUGAUUGUUUGGUUAUCAAGGCUCUGAUAUAAAUGGCAAAAAUAAUUUUAAAAAAUAUAUAUUAAUAUUGAUAGUUUUUAAUUUAAAUAUUGUAGAUUUAACUAUUGUUAUUACAUCAUGAAAUAAAUAAUACUUUAUAUAAAAUAUGUUUUAUUGUUCCAUUGAACUAUCUACAAUUCCAUCACGUAUGAAAUACAUCCGACAAGGAUUACAGUUUUCACAAAUUUCUUAAGAGCGCAACAACAUCAGGUAAAAUAUAAUCAGGAAUAAAAUUGGAAUUGCUAUCAAAUUCUGCAAAUGUUACGUCAUCAAACAAUCUCUGUCUAAUUAUACACUACAAGAUUUCACAGUUUUACUGAUGGAAAAAUUCCUUCAGUGUGUGAUUAGAAGUUCGUCGAUGAUUUUUUUACCGACGUCAUCACCGACGGAUUACGUCCGUCGGCUUUUCUUUUGUCGGUGAUUUCCCAUUCCGUUGCUAUAUCGGUCGGCAACACAAAAAAACCAUUUGCCGAUGGUUUUACAAACAUGAUUUGUGCGCCAAAAAAAAAAGAUUCCCGCUUGAAAUAUACUGACGAAUUUUUAGUCCGUCGGUGAUAUCGUGAAUUACCGACGACUACUAACCGUCGGUAAAUCUGUCGGUGAGUGUAUGAAAUACCGACCGAAUAUAUCCGUCUGUAAAUUCGUCGGUAAGUGUGGUAGCUACUGUUAAAUGCUGACAGAUUAAUUCCAUCGGCAAGUCUGUCGGUGAGUGUUUAAAAUACCGAUCGAAUGAAUCCGUCGGUAAAAUCCUUGGUAAUAGUUUUUUUCUAAAUUUGUUUUUAAAAAAUUAUUUAGGAUAUAUAAUAUAAAACUAUAUAAAUUAAUUGUAAUACAAACCUAUGCAAAUAAAAUUUAUAUUAAACAUAAAAAAAAAACAAAGUUAAAUAAUAUUCAUUACAAACUGAAUAUGUUUCAAAAAAAAUAUUAAAUGAAGUUUUAAAGGUAAAUAAUGUUUAUUACAAAUUAAUAUAAAGGUGGAGCUGGAGGAGGAGGAGGAGAUCCUGGAGGAGGAGGCUGGAGGUUAUACAGCCAAAAAGGAUUAGGCGCACAUGUUCCACUAUUUGCCAUGUUCAUAACCAUUUCAUGAAGCUGUUCAUAAGCCGCUUUUUGUUGUUCAUACUCCGCUUUUUGUUGUGCUUGAGACGCUUUGAUUUGCUCAGACUCCGCUCUUUGUUGUGCAUAAGACGCUUUGAGUUGUGCGUACUCCGCUGAUAGGUGGUCGUAUUUGUCGGUGAGCUGAGCCGUGUGUUGCUGCAAUGCCACGAACUCCUUAGAUUGGGAGCUCGAUAUUGAUUGGGAGCUCCCAACGGUUGAAACACUACGGGUCGACCACAAGUUGUCGGCCAUUGUGUUGGAGAACCCGUAAACCCGAUUUUUAUCGGGUCCACCUGACGAGCCAACCUCCAUCCACAAAUUCAGAUCGAAUUUUGGAUGGGUCAAAAUAUCGUCCCCGUAUCUCUCCUUCAACCGAUUAUUAUAGGUCUCCUGAAAAUAAAAAAAAAAGUAAUCAUCAUAUUCAAUUCAAUAAACAUAAUAACUUACAUAAUAACUUACAAAAUAAAAUGGUCGAACAAACAUACCACGAAAUGUUGAGCACAGUUAUCAACGAACUGUUGCGCCCCCUUUUAGCGGUCAUGACUCCGCACGUGCGUCUCCACAAACAGCUCCAUCGGGCUCGGCUCACGUCCAAGAGACGCAGCCUAUAAUGAAAAAAGAUAUAUUAACAACAACUUAAUUUAAUGAAAUAUUUCAUUUAAAUUAAUCUUACCAUCUGUUUCACAUGUGCAGCAAACGAAACGGAGCCGCCAGUGUGCGUUGCAACCGAGCCAUGAAUUGGCCGAUUCCGGAUGCCAGCACCAGACUGUGAGCGUCGUGUGAACCGAUCAGACGUCACGUGCUCAAGAUAGUGCGGCCAUAUAUCUUCCAGGAUGUAUAUCGGUUUGAAAUCCCUCCAAACCGCAACAUCAUUCCAGCCUUGGAAACCCCUAUCCCUCACGGUUUGUUUUUCCCUUUUCUGUACUUCAUACCAAAAAUCACGCAACCUACUUCACGCAACCAAAAAUUACAUUUUGAAACAUAAAUUUUAGUCUAAAAAAAUCUUGUAUUUUUUUCGAUCUUACCUAGGUGCCGCGUGAUUUUCCCACACCCUCCUCACAACAGUGUUAUGCUCACUGUCCUAGCAGAAUUUGUGCUAUGUAUAAAUAAACAAGUUUAAAUAAAAACAAUAAUUUAUUUACAAUUAUAUUAAUAAUUUAUUAGAAAUAAGCUGAAAAUUAUAAAUUAACACCAACCUGAAAUCUGCCAAACAUGCAUUGAUUUGAGGCAUCCAUUCAGGAUGCUUGGACAUCUGACUCCAUUGAAACAAUGGAAUCUCCAUCGACGAUUUAAAUGCCGAUGAUAUUACUCGGGUGGCCUCAAUGUUUGUGAACCUGAAAAUAAAUGAAAUAAAUUAAAUAGUGAUUACUUCAUAAAUUAUGUUGUAAUUUUAAAAAAAAAAUUAAACCUUAACAAACUUAUAUUGAAAGGUCGUCCUUCCACUGUGCCUCGUACUUGCGGGUAAAUUGAUUCCACUGCGAAGGCACGCCGCCUCUGCGCUGUGAAGUACCGCUGGAAGAGGCAGCAUCGGUUGACGGCGCAGGUGAUGUAGGUGCCUCUCAAGGAAAUAUCAUCAUCGUUGCUAGACGAACUAGCUGCGACCGUACGUGAGCGACUAGCUCUGGUUUUCAUUCUACGCAUCUCCAUAAUUUUAUACAAAUAAUUAUAUAAUUGAAUUCAAAUGUUAAAAAAAAAUUCGACAGCACCUCCCCUAUACCGGAUACUACUCCCCUAUACUGGAUACUACCCAAAUCCACAAACCUGCACAUAUUAACAAAAGCCACAACCAAUUGACCCAAUCUAUACUAAUUAUUCCAACAUAUUCAAUUACUAAUCCUAAGGUAAAUUCAACAUUAAGAAUUACAAUUCAACAAAUUAUUCAAUAAUUAUGCCAAUACAACAAUAAAAUAUAUUCAAUAAAUAAAAAAAACUGUAGACUGACAAUUAAAAUUAAUUGAAAAAAAUUAAACAUAAAUCAUGCAAUAAUAGAGUAUAAUUAACAAUUAUUCCAAAAUAUUCAAUUACUAAUACAAAGUAAAUUCAACAUUAACAAUUACAAUUCAAAAAAUUAUUCAAUAAUUAUACCAAUACAACAAAACAAUAAAUUAAAAAAAAAACUCUAGAAUAACAAUCAAAAUAAAUGCAAAACAUUAAACACAAAUCAUGCAAUAAUAGAGUAAAAUUAAUAAUUAUUCAAACAUAUUCAAUUACUAAUUCUAUGGUAAAUUCAACAUUAACAAUAAAUAUUCAACAAAUUAACUAAUAAUAAUUAUGCCAAUACAACAAUAAAAAAUAUUCAAUAAAUUCAAAAAACAAAUUAUAGACUUUAGCAAUGAAUUAUGCAAAAACAACUAUAGACUUUAUCUACAUUACAAAAAAUACACCAAAACAAAAAACAUACCAAAAACAAAUAGCAAAAAAAAAAACCCUUAAAGCAAAAAACAUACAUACCUUUUAAACUGAUGGAGAUUCAUGAGAAAAAUUGCUAGAGAUUGCUGGUGAAACCUUUGAAGAACGGAGAGGAAAAGAAUCGGUGAAAAACUGAGGAGAAAAUUGGUGAAAAAACUGAGGAGAAGAAAAAAUGAACUGAAACGGCGGAUGGGGGGACUUAUAUGGCAGUUUUACCGACGGAUUCACCGAUGGAUAUAAAAUUAAUUAUUAUUUUAAUUUAUUCCGUCGGUGAAGUGUCCAAAAUCCGUCGGUAAAUGUUGAAUUUCGCACCAAAAUUUUUAAUGACCCUCCAUAUUUUUCGUGGUCCGUCAGUAAUUCCGUCAGCGAGCUGACGCGGUCACAGAUGCAUUUAAUGCACAACCCUUUGGAAUUCGCGCGGUCCGUCGGUAAUGGCGUCGGUAAAAUUGACCCGCCGACAACUUGCCGACGUACUUAUAUCCGUCGGUAUAGUCGUCGGUGAUUGUGGCAUUUCAAGUAAUUAUUUUCGAACUCCCUGUGAAAUGCCGACGGACUUAAUCCGUCGGUAUGCACGACGGUGAAUAUGGCAUUUCAAGUAAUUAUUUUCGAACUCUUUGUGAAACGCCGACGGACUUAGUUUGUCGGUAUCGACGUCGGUGAUUGUGGCAUUUCAAGUAAUUAUUUUCGAACUCUCUGUGAAAUGCUGACAGACAUAUAUCCAUCGGUACGGACGUCGGUGAUUGUGGCAUUUCAAGUAUUUAUUUUCGUGUUACAAAAUAUAUCAUCCAUGAUCUAUAAUUAUUUCAAGUAAUUAUUUCGUGAUUGUGGCAUUUCAAGUAAUUAUUUCAAGUAAUAAAUAUUUCGUGUUACAAAAUAUAUCAUCCAUAAUCUAAAUUACAUGAAAGAAAGGGUUUUACACAGGGCUUAAAUUUGAUUGUUAGUCAGAAUUUUCUUCUUCUUCGUCAUAAAUUGAAUUGUCAUCACCCUCAUCGCAAUCUUCAAUAUGGAUAUUGUCUUCUUCAUCCACAUUUGCUUGUCCGCUAGAGCUUAAAACAACAUUCAACUCCUCUGCGUCAACAUCAACAAGACUAUCAUCGAAAACACAAAAAAUUGAAUUUUCUUCCAAUUCAAUCGAAGGAGCAACUCGAUAUGGUUCAACCAGCUCACUAACUUGAAAGACUUCAUCUCGCACACUUGUGUCUUCGUUCUCAUCCUGAACAACCUCGACACGACCCCGGGGUUUUGUUUUUAAAACGGACAACCAAUCCACUCUUGAUUGAUCCUUUCUAAAUGAAGGGGUGUAUGUGUAAUAAACUUGUUGACAUUGCUUUGCGAAAACAAAGACAUCGUUUAUGUUGCGGAGUCUAGCUUUUGAGUUGAUUUCGACCAGACCAUAGUGCGGAUCAACUCUGAUUCCUCUGUCAGUCGUGUCAUACCAAUAGCAUUUGAAUAAAAACACUCUAUUCUGUUCGUUAUGAUAUUGCAGUUCGACGACCUCUUCUAAUCUACCAUAGUAGUCAACUUCUAACUCAUUACUAGUGGAUCCCUUAACACAAACACCGCUGUUGUAUGUCUUUCUUCCUUGCCCAUAUUCUUCAGUAUGGAAAACAUAUCCAUUGACAAAAUACCCAUUGUAGAACUUACAUUUUCUUCUAGGCCCAGGCUUAGUGAAGACAAUGACUUAGGCGCACUCAUUUCCAUUUGAUAAACCUUGUAUGUAAUGUACAUCAAUAAACAGUAAAUGAAUGAGAAUCUCGUAAUGACAUGCAUACGUACAGUAAUUUUGCAAGCUAGGAUGAGUUUGUGAUAGUGCUUACAUGUGUUCUGAACCACGUGGCAAACUGUUCAUCUUGUAAUUGAAAGAUCUGGGAUUCGGUCAGCUAUGAGUUAUUGGAGAGCAAAUAUUGUCGAUGUUGCCUACAAGUGAUGAUGAGUGUAUGAUAUUACAAUAUAUAAUUAACAGUAUAUUACUAACAAAGUUUAAUUAGUAUAAACUUACUGAAUAAAAGGUCUCAGCUCAUCACAGUAAAUAGAACAUAGUUGUGUGCUUGUUUGAACUCUAUUUCCGAAAAAUAUCUUCCUCUUACGACAUUUUUAGGUGUGGGUCGUCCAGUAUUGGAGAAUAUUGACAAGUUCCCACUGGAAGGCACUUCACCGCCAUCAUCAUGCAGUGGAACGCGAUUGAUUCUCGUUCUCAGAUGAGGUUUGAAAUAGUACAAGAUAAAUGUUGAGAUCUCCUCAACAAUAUAGGCCUCACAUAUCGAAGCCUCAACAUGCGCCUUGUUCUUAACCUUUUUCUUGAGAUUAAACAAGUACCUGCAUUGAAAUAUUAAUCAAGUAUUUUCAAUUAAGAAAAACAUAUAAAAUACUUUUAUAUAUGAAUUACAUUGCAACUGUAAUAUCUAAUCGUUCGAAUGGGUACAUCCAUCUAUAUUGGACCGGUCCUCCAGCUUUUGCCUCGAACGGUAGAUGUAUAGGGAGAUGCUCCAUUAAGUCAAAAAAUGAUGGAGGGAAUAUCAUCUCAAGUUUGCAUAGUGUCUCGACGAUAUUCGUUUGAAGCCUCUCAAUGUGAUCAACAUUCAACUUGCUGGAGCAUAUAUCUCUAAAGAAAUGACUGAUCUCCGUGAGUGCAUCCCAUAUUCCCUUUGGCAACAAAUCACGAAAAGCUAAUGGGAUGAGUGUUUGCAUAAACACGUGGCAGUCAUGACUCUUCAUUCCAUACAAUCUGCAGUCCUCUAUAUUAACCAACCUUGAUAUGUUCGAUGCAUGUCCAUCCGGAAAACGCAGACUCUUAACCCAUUUGUAGACUAGUAGUUGUGCGUUUUUCUCUAACACAAAGCUUGCUCUUGGUUUUGCGACCCGUGACUCAUCAUAAACCAACUCCAUAUUUUUACGGUUACAGUAUAAAGCUAUAUCCAAUCUAGCCUUGAUGUUGUCCUUUGUCUUCCCCUUCACAUCCGUGAUGGUGUUGAAAAUGUUCUCAAACAUGUUCUUUUUGAUGUGCAUGACGUCAAGGUUAUGGCGGAGCAGAUUGGUCUUCCAAUAAGGAAGCUCCCAAAAGAUACUUCGCUUUACCCAAUUAUGGGUCAAACCAAAACCGGGAAACUUUUGCUUACCUGAUUGAAGGCCAAACACAAUGUCACCGUACUCUGAGACAACAUCAUACAAUUCUUCACCAGAAAGAUGCGGGGAUGCAACAUCUUUUUCAACUCUGCCAACAAAGAAAUCUUUUCUGUUCUUUCUGUACCUGUGAUUAAGUGGCAAGAAGCAACGGUGACAGUCAAAAAAAGAAGCUUUACCUCCAUUUGCUAGCGUGAAUGCCUUGUUGUUUUCCAUGCAGUAUGGAUAUGCGAGUAUCCCAUGCGUGCUCCAACUAGAAAGCAUUCCAUAAGCUGGAAAAUCAUUGAUAGUCCACAUCAAAGCCGCCCUCAUAAGGAAAUUUUGUUUCCUCGAUAUAUCAUAAGUCAGAGCUCCGAAGGACCACAACUACGCCAACUCAUCAAUCAACGGUCGAAGACAAACAUCUAUAUUCCGCCCCGGGCUGCUUGGACCAGGUAUGACAGUAAAUAAAAACAUGAACUCCGACCUCAUACACAUUCCCGGUGGAAGUUAUAAACUGUGAGUAUGACCGGCCAACAAGAAUAAGGAGCAGCAAAUGACCCAAAUGGGUUGAAUCCGUCUGUACACAACCCAAGACGCACAUUCAUUGAUUCAGCUGAAAAGUGAGGAUGGACACUGUUAAAGCGUUUCCACGCUUCGCCGUCAGAAGGAUGAACCAUCACUCCAUCAACCGCAUGGUGUGCUUGGUGCCAUGUCAUGUGCUCAGCAGUCCUUGGUGACAUGAAUAACCUCUGCAGUCUAGGUGUGAUCGGGAAGUAUCUAAGUUUUUUAUAUGCCACUAGAGUCUUUCCCCUGCCAGUUCUAGGUUUGUAACGGGAAUGCCCGCAUGUCAUGCACUCAGUCAUCUCAGCAUUUUCAAGGUAGUAUAACAUGCAGAAGUUAGGGCACAUGUUAAUUUUCUGGUAUCCUAAACCGAUGGGUUUCAUCAUGGACUUCGCAGCAUAGAAGUUCUCUUUCAGCCUGUUCUCUUCAGGUAAAAUGCUUCUUGCCCAUUCAAUAAUCGUGGGAUACCCGGCCUCACUCAACCCGUGAUCUGACUUGAUGGUGAACACCUGUGCUACGACCGAUAAUUUACUGUGAUUCGUGCAGCCAUCCCAUAAUGGUUCGUCAGAAUCUUUCAACAAAUCAAAAAACCUAGCUGCAUCUACAUUAGGUUCUUCUUUUACGAUUGGACAUUAACUGACAUUACCUUGAUUCAUUCUCAUUGCAUCCAUAACCAUAUUUCUGUAAGGAUUAGUGUUGUCAUUUGCCGCUUCAUGCACGUUGCUAGCACUAGAAGUAGACCUAACCACCGUUUCUUCCAUUCUCCUCUCACUAACAUAUACUUCUCCAUGUGCAUACCAACAAUGGUAAUUCUCCAUAAACCCUUUGUGUAGAAGAUGCAUCAUUACAACAUCUGGAUGCAUAUACUUUUUAUUUUGACACUUCCUGCAUGGACACCUAAUACCGCCUCCAGUAAAAUUUCUAGGAAUAGAUGUUGCGAAAUUAAUAAAACCCUGAACCCCGUUACAAUAAUACAUCCUCCGCAAUCCUUGGGGUGAAUCUCGAUACAUCCAUGAUUUAUAUCGAACCUCUAUAAAAUUAUGAUGACAUCAUGUAUUAAUUAACUAAGUUAGGUAAAUAAACUUGCAAAAAUAUUACUUUACCUCGAGAUUAUCCAACAAACAAAUCACAACUUCUCAUAAAUAUUAAAUAUUCAUUAUCAUUUAUCAACGUCCAUACAAAUUAAAAUAUAUAAAUUUACAGAAAUUACCACUCCGCAAUACCAUUGAUAAAACUUUAAACGGACCCAUUAAGCAAGCUAUUAAUUAUUUCAAAACAGCACAUGUACUUCGGUAGUUCCAUAAAGUUUUAACAAUUUACAAACAAAUACAAUCUUACAAAAUCUAAAACAAACCAUAACAGGUAUAGAAUUAUACAUUCAUAUACUACAAGUUUGUUUGAGAAAUAACAAUAAAACAUGUACAUCUACUAACAAAAUACAUAUACUAAAAAAACAAUAAAAUUGACAUUUAAUUAAAUGUUAAAAUUUAAAAAGAUAGAAUUACUUACAAAAAUUGAUAAAAUCCGUCGGUAAAUUAGAACACGGAUGCUGUGACCACAAAACUUCAAGAAAUAUAACUUGUUGUGCUGAUAUGAGGGAGAUUUUUGUUUGGGGGGGGGAGGGGGGGUUGGUUGUUUGCAAAUGGGGAGAGUUGGGAUUGGGAAGAAGAAGGAGAAAUAGGGGAGGAGAGCGUCGGUAGAUCGAACAUAUAUUAACUUUUCCCGACGGUUUCACCGACGGACACUCCGUCGGUGAAACCGUUGAUGAUUCUGACGGAACAAUCGACACGUCACCGUACGAAUCUGCCAUUUCAAAUCCGUCGGUGAUUCUGUCAGCAAUAUAAACGGUGGUCACUGUACAAGUUGUCUUUUUGAAUCCGUCGGUGAUCCCGUCUGAAAAAAUAACCCGCCAAAACCUCCACGUCAGUGACCCGCCUUUUUUUUACGAGGGAAACUUUUCCGUCCGUAAUUCAGUCGGUAACUACCGAUGGAAAUUUUCCGUCAAUAGUUACAGACUGAAUUACGAAUGAAAUAUUGUCCAUCGGUAAUUUCAACCUCAAAUUACCGACAGAAAUAUUCUGUCGGUAAAUCCGUUGCUAUUUAGCGAAUUUUUGGUAGUUAACACUAGUUUUUCGAAUAAAACACAAUUAAAAAAAAAUAUUUUUUUAUUUUUAUUUUGCCGGGUCGAGCCCGGUUCAAUGCAUUUUUAGCUUUGGACCGGACCUGAUCCGGCCGGAACAAUGGAGAAUGCCUCCACUGUUCAUGUGAACAGUAGAGCCAUGCUCAACUGUUCAGUGAUUCCUCCCCCAAAAGAAACAGCAAAAUUGUGCUUCUACAAAACCUGUAGCAUAGCCAUAUUUCUGGUGGGUUCUACAAGCAUAAACUUGUGUUUUUUCCUUAACCAAACAGUAAUAUCUGUGGCUGCGAAUGAACCUCACCCACGACCACACUACCAAACGGGCGGCAUCUUUAAUUUGUUCCUUUUACUUAAUAAGUGUUUGUUUUUUUCUUCUCAAAAACAGAAAACCACCUUCGAUAUGCAGUGCAACAUUUCAUGCCCCAAGUUAGCUAGCUGCUUCAAAACCCUGAAAUAUUGGAAAUUAAAGUUUGCUGGUAGUAAUUUUAGGUUAUAUCUUUGUGAACAUCUUGGAUUCAAUUUGCCAAAUUCUCAGUUAUUCUUGAAUUAACAUAAAUCUUGCAACUCAAGAUAAUUCUUAUUAAUUUUUUUUACAAAGACUUAUUUUUAUUAAUUUAUAUUUUGGAUUUUAUAUAUUUCCUUUUAUUUUUUAGUUAAAUAUAUUUUUAUUUUUUUUACUAAUUAAUAAACUUCUAUACUUUUCUCUUAGAUGCACCAACAAUUUUUAUUAUUAAUAACUUUAUAUUUACAACUAUAUAAACACACACACACACACACACACAUAUAUAUAUAUAUAAUCACUUACUCCAAAAUUGGACUUGCUUCGUUUGUAACUGGUUUGAGACAAAAAUAAUAAAAUUUAAUUCUACAUUCCUAAUUAUGCUCUGCAAAUUACAAACAAUAAAGAUUAAUAAAAUUAUAUGCCAAAAUUAUUUUUCUUUGUUAUUUCUAAUUGGCCCAACUUUAUCUUAAGAAUCCACCCAGGACUUGCAAUUUAUAACCCCAAGCCCUUGGAAACUUUAGAGAUUAUACAAAUGCCCCUUCUAGUCCUAGAUUCAUUGCAACACAUGUAGUGAAAAGAGAGAAACAAACAAGACGAUUUAGCCAAAAACCUCAAAGAAGGUUUAUGCAGGGUUUAAGGCGGCCGGUAUGCUAAUACCACUAUCAUACCCUCUCUAUGAACUCAUUUCCUUUCUCAAAUUGCAUUACCCGCGCAUUUUAAUUCAUUUCUCAAUCACUUCAAUUCCAUUUCUUUUUUUCUUUUUUCUUUCUCAUUUCCUUUAAUUAGAGUGCCAACUCCCGUAUAUUUUCUACCAAAAAUUUUGAUCCUUUGAUUACUUUUGAUAAGAAACCCACAAUUCUAUCUCUAAACCAUCCACAGUUAUGUGGAGAAACGUCGCAAAACAAGCCACUUUGAAAUCCCAAUCAAAGUCCCUCAAUUUCCCUUCAUUUCCAAGAACUUACAGCUUUUUAGGAGCCUCUAAAGAACCCAUCUUUUUUGAGAAACUUAAGUUCCAUUCGCUUAAUAACACAAGUCCACGACUGAGUUUUCGAGCAAUUGGCGAAAUAUCAACCCAUGAAGAUUUUAUGGGAAAACCCCGUUUUAUUUUUUUGAGAAAUAGUGAUAGUACUAAUGGGAAUCGGUGUGCUGGAUUUUGUCCAAGAGGGUAUGUGAGUGUAGUUGAGGCAGUGUCAUCAACAGAUGUUGAAGAUAAUGUGUAUGGUGCGGAUGAAGUGCAAGAAUUGCUGCCAGAAAUGAGGAAAGAAGAGGAGAAAGAGGAGCACUUUAGGAGGAGGCUACAUGCUAACCCUGGAAUAGGGUCAAGGAAGCAUAGGGUCUUAAGGAGAAGGCAAGUGAAGAUUGAGGCGGAAGCAUGGGAACUGGCAACGAAAGAAUAUAAGGAGCUUUUGAAGGAUAUGUGUGAGCAUAAGUUGGCUCCUAAUUUGCCAUAUAUGAAGAGUUUGUUCCUUGGUUGGUUUGAGCCUUUUACAGAUGCAAUUGCGAAAGAGCAGGAGUUGAUUAGAACGGGGAAGAGUAGGCAGGGUUAUGCUCCGUAUUUUGAUCUGUUACCAGCUGACAAGAUGUCUGUUAUUGCAAUGCAUCAACUCGCAGCAAUGGUAAUGACAGGUAGGGAAGAUGGAUGUGCAAGAGUUGUGACUGCUGCUUGUAUGAUUGGUGAUGCAAUUGAGCAGGAGGUAAGUAAUUUUUAAUGUUUUAUUUGUUUAUUUUUACUUGCGGUUUGAUUUGUAGACAGAGGAUAAUGAGUGCCCAUAUAAAAAUAUUGAAAGAUAAGGGAAAACAUAAAGUUUCUUAAAUUUAAUUUUAGACAACCUUCAUCUGAGGUGAUGAACUAGGAAGAAAGAUGAAAGUUACUAUGUACAAUUAUGAGAUAAAAAUCAGCUAUGGAGCUAGUAGUGCCUGGAAAAUUAGAUUUUGAAGUUACGUUCCGUAAAGUUUUGUCGAAUGUUGAAUGGGGUUUUUCUGGAUUUCUUUUUUAUAUAUCUAUAGUUUUUACUUUCAGUCCAAGUUCUUCUGCUGUUCAUGGUUCCAGGGAGGACACUAAAUGUAGGUACGAAAAACAAUGUAGUGUAAGAUCCUUUAGAUACUAAGUUUUUACAAUUUUUUCAUUAUGUGUUAAACUUUUCAUAUCACGGGCCUUAUUAGGCUGAAUAUUCUAUUACGCCUUUCUUUUUUGAGCUACAAUUUCUUCAAAGCAUGGGCAUGGUGGACUCAUAAGAGUGACAUUCAACUUUCCAUUCUUAAUCCAUUUUUUGGACCUCCUACCUCUUCAGUCUUGUUCUCUUUCUUUGAACUGAGGACUGAAUCUGUAACAGUUUCUGUGAUGAAACAGAUUAGAAUACACAAUAUCUUGGAGAAAACAAGGAAGAAAAAGGAAAAGGCUAAUGAUAGCAAGAAUGGUGUAGAAGGUGAAUCCCCUGCUGUCAUGGAGGAACAAGAAAACCUAAGAAAAAAGGUUACUGAUUUGAUUAAAAAACAAAAGCUGCCAGCUGUGAGGAAGAUUGUGAAGGGGAAGGAUGAUUCAAAACCAUGGAAUGCAGAUGCUAGGGCUAAGGUUUGUGUGCUUGUAAUCAUUGAUAAAGGCUAAUUUUCUUGAACAAAUGUAUCGUGUACGAAUUUGAUUUCUGUCCUUGCACUUUGCAGGUUGGAAGCCGUCUAAUUGAAUUGCUGUUACAAACAGCUUAUAUACAGCCUCCCUGUGAUCAGUUAGCUGAUACUCCAUCUGAACCUCGACCUGCAUUUUUACAUACAUUCAGAACUGUGUCGUAUGAAAAUAAGCAUGGAGUCAUUCUUUAAUUGACUCGAUGAGCUCAAUUUAUAUUUUCUUCCUUGUAAUUGCUUCUGACUGAUGCACAAUGGCCUUUUCUCAAACAGGAAGGGCGCAAAAAAAUAUGGUGUUAUUAAAUGUGACCCACUAGUCCUCAAAGGCCUAGAGAAAACUGUGAGUAACCCUGUCAAAUUUUGUUCUUCUAGUGAUAUCUAGUUUUCAUAUUUUAUCAUCCUUUAUGACAUGAACUUGUGUCGGGGUGCCAUAGACUUUCAAAGCAGAUAGGUUAGUUUCUAGAUUUUAGAGCUGAAACAGAUAAGAUUUGUAGGCAAUUUCCAUGGUGCUUCUUAAGUUGCAGAUGUUUGUCUUUCAUUCUUUUUUCUUGCACAAGAAGUCAUAAAAAUGUUGUUUCUCCAAACAGGCUAGGCACGAGGUGAUUCCUUAUAUGCCAAUGUUGGUGCCACCACUUACAUGGAGAGGGUAUGUUAACUUGUUUUAUAUUUACAGUUUUUCCACGAUUGUCUUGUUUUAAUUUUAUAUUUUUUAGUUGGAUAUAUUCCAAGUUCAGAAAUAUUAACAUAGUGUUUUGGUUACUUCUGCUUGAUGCCUGGAGCUGUUUUCAAUUUUCAUGUCAAGUUAAAUACUUAAAAUGGUAUAAUAGAUGAAGGGAUGAAUAUCUGAUUAUAAAGGCUGGAAUUCCAAUCCAAUUUCAGUUAAUUGAAAUUAAUAUUUCAGCAUGUUUCAAGGCUCUGCCUCUCCAUUUCUGUAACCUGCAUUGGAAGGGAAACUAAUUGUCUUGCAGGUGUUUAUUGAAAACAUGGUGAAUGUGAGAUAUGAGAUGGAAGGUUUUGUCUAGGAUUCUCAACAAAACAGAGAACAGUGUCUUUAAACAUUGAAGAGCAUUUGCUAAUCACAACCAUGUCUAAUACGGGAAAAUUAACAUUAUUGCCACAGGCAGGAGAAUUUAGAGAUUGCUAUGGAAUUCUUUAUUAUAAUGUUUUUGAUGUUAAAGGGAGAGGUAUACUUCAUGGAAAAGAAUGAUUGGCAGUUAGAGAUAAAAUAUAGAGAAAGAAAAGGUGUUAGGUUUUCUUCAAGGAUGCUGUGGUGGAUUAUUUUAGCGGAAGAAAAGAUAAGAGUAGCGAAUUGUUGUUUUCAUGUGAAGUCAGACACCUAGUUAAUUUAGGAUUAGGAUAGUACAUAGAGAACUUGAUUGAAGUAGUUCAGUUUCUUUAGGUGAUGAUUCAUAGAUAGGUAUUUAUUUUAAAUUUCAAAUGUGCCAGAAGUGCAAGGAGACAAUAGAUGAUUACAUGGGCAAAAUGGCACAGACGGAUCUCUGCAGUCAAACUGAGAUUUUUGAACCUUAUUGUUUCGCAAGUUAGUUAGGAUAUGUUUUUCAUGGACUUUGGUUAAGUUUUUCAUGAAUAGGUGAUCACAAUCCUCAUUGGAAAAACUACACAUGCUUUGGAAUAUGAAGAGGCCUCUAUGGCAGCUUCUGCCAUUCAACCUAUUGCCUUUAAAUCUGAUAAGCUCCCUAGCGCUUUUGGUUGUAAAUUGCCCAUUAGGACUGAGAUUCCUGGACACACUUUCUAUCUACAAAAAGAAAAGAUUUAAACCAGUGAUUGCACUCUGAAUAUCUUAAUUUGAUCAGAUUGAGCAUCAGACGAAAACCAUUCCAUGAAUUGGUUUUGGGGAAAGAGCACUUUGUUUACUAGCAAGUUUAUAGGGGGUCUUGGCUCUUUCACUCAAUCAUCAUGCAAGUUGCAGGAGGCACAUUAGCAUAGUCCCCACUAAAAUUAAUUUUAGAUCCUUGUAUACAAAUUUGGAAGAUACAAAUUCUUCAUACAUGUUCCUUACAUAUGCUACUUUAAUCUGGAAUUUAAUGAGUUUGUGGUUGGAUUCUGGUUCCCAUGUAGUUGUAGCAACUCUUAACACCACUAUAGCUUCUAGUAACAAAUCAGGACCUGGCAUUUAAGUAGCUUUUUGGUGUGUUCUAAGCUCUUCUUAGAUAAUUGUGUCAUAGCUCUCUUACUCGUGUCGAGCAUAACCUCAAUGCCCUUUGCAGUUAUGAUAAAGGAGCUCACUUGUUCUUACCAUCCUAUGUCAUGCGGAUACAUGGUGCUAAACAGCAACGUGAAGCAGUUAAGACGGCACCUAGGAAGCAGCUACAACCAGUUUUUGAGGUCUGUACAUAUUAGAUGCAUUGCAUGGUUACUGAUGCAUAUUUUAUUGUUUGAACUAAAUCAUCUUUUGGUACUAACAUGUGAUGUUCUUUGAACAAAAUCUCAUACUGAUAAUUUUGUAUACCUUCACAUGCUAUCACAUGUGUAGAUUUUACCAGCUUAGCUUCUGGUUUAACAAGGAUUCUCUUUUGUUUGAAUUAAUUUUCCAGGCCCUGGAUACACUAGGGAAUACGAGAUGGAGGGUAAAUAAGAGGGUACUUAGUGUUGGUGAUAGAAUAUGGAGUAAUGGAGGCUGUCUUGCUGAUUUGGUAGACCACAGUGAUGUGAGUAUCUUUUCGAAUAUUUCUUUUGAAGCUUUUGAAAAGAAAUAUUAACAUUUAUCAUUCAUUUAUGCACUUUUGACCAAAUUUUUCUUUUGCUUUUUUAUGUUGUCCCACUGAGAAGACCUUUUUUGUUCUUUUGUGUGAAAAAAAAAAACUAAAUAAACUAAUUUCAGUUUUUAAAUUCUAAAACAGAUUGAACCAGAUGAAGUCAUAGACUAGUCAUUAUUAUUAUAUUCCCAUUAUUAUUUAUUAUUCUAUAGAUUUUUCGAAGCUUUUGAAAAGAAAAAUAAACAUUGAUCAUUCAUUCACUUUUGAAAAAAAAUUCUUUUGCUUUUUUAUGUUCCACUGAGAUGGCCUUUUUUUUUCUUUUGUGAAUUAUGAUUUGACGUCAAACCAGAUGGAUUAUCAGCUGCAGCCACAAUUAUUUGAUGCAUAGCAAAAUAAUUAUUCAGAAUCACGGUACCUUGGCAGUCCUUUCCAGCCAAAUUGAUGCGUUGCGUGCUAAUCCGAUGAAAAUCAAGAUCCCAAAGAGGGUGAUGCAGCUGAUGGUUGGUUCUCUUCCUUCUUGUGAGUUUUUACAUAAUAAAAUAGCGGCCUUAAUUACGAGAGUACUUCCAUUUUUACAUGAAAAAUGGCUGCGAUUUCCUUUCGUUAUUUAUUAAUCUCUAUCACGACCACAAAAUUACUAAACGCCGACCGAAUAUGAUACAAAAGUGCACUAAUUUUUUUUGGUUUAUUAAAGAUUAUUGGAGUGCAUCUUCCUUGGAUAAUUGUAGACUUUAUUUUCCUAAUUAAUAAAAAAGAUUUUUAUCCAUUGUGGUAGCUUUAAUGCUUUAUAAAUAAAGUAUUGAUCAUAAGAAUUCUAUCAUCCUUACUUUUUCUUGUUGUCGAUUUCAAUGGCCAGUGAAUCUAACUAUAACAUCCGAAGAAUAUAUUGCUUUAGUCAUAAUCUGGUCAUAGAUGAUUUCCCCAUCACAAGCUAUAAGUGCCUCUAUAUAUAACCCUAAUCCCUUCUCUAUGCUUCUUGACAGCUUAUUAAAAAAGGUUCAAGAUUGGGAAUAACAGGUUUGCUCCCUCUGUGAUCUCAGGUUCGAGUCCUGUGGUUCAAGGGCGAAGCUAGGAUUAUUUGAUAGGGGGGCCAAAAUAAUAUAAAAAUAUAUAAUUUUUUUUAAUUUAUUGUAUAUGAAUUGUUAAAAAAAAACUGCAUGAUUUAGUUUUAUUUAAAGAAGUAACUACAAACAUAUGACAAUUUUUGUAUAAGAUAAGAGGUUUAAAACAAUAUCAAAUUGAGUCAAAGUUAAGAAGUUAAUUUCAUCUUCAUAAUAUAUUCAUCACUUUAAUUUUGUUGGUCUUUGUACCUAUCAAAUAUAAACAUACAAAAUAUAUAAGAAACAUUAGCUAAAGCGAUGCAUUAUUUAUGUUUGAUAAAACUUUGAAAUAAAGUAAAAAAUAAUAAAGAAUGAUUCUUACAUAUUUAUUUUAAUUGUGCUCGUCGUUCUUUCAUAGAGUAGAAAUCAUCGAUUAUUAUAUCACUUGUGAAUCUUUCAGCAAUUUCUUUUUCUAUAUAGACAAUCAAAUAAUUUGCAAGAAAAUCAUCCUCCAUCCGAUUGCGAAGUUUUAUUUUAACAAUCUUCAUCGCUGAAAAAGCUCGUUCAGUAGUUGCUGUCGAAACAGGAAGAGUUAAAAUAAGCCGAAUCAACCUGUCAACAAGUGGAUAAAUUGUUGAUUUUUCUGUUUCAACCAAUCCUUGACAUAAUUCAGCAAUCGAUGACAUAUUCUUUAACUUUGGAUGAUUGGGUACAUCAAGCUCAUAAUGCUGCAACUGAAAUCUCAAAUGAGUUUUUUCUUGGUCAGAAAAGUCUUCAGGAUAGAACUUGUCAACAAGUAAGCAUAUAUCUUCAACAUUGAAUAAUUUAUAGUUAUUUUUAGGAUCUAAAGCUGUGCUCAACUUAAGAAGCUCGAUUGCCUGCUCAUUGAAUCUAUUAUUUAGCUCUUGCAACUGUUGAUCAAUGAUAGCUGUAAACAUAUCAACUCGAUAGUGAUGCUCAACUGUUAUUGAUUUUGUUUUACGGCGAGAUCGUCCCACACUAGAAAAACAAGCAUCCAUAUCAGGAACUUCAAUGUCUUGAUGCUUACAAAAUGAUAUCACUUCUUCUAAAAGAGUUUCCCAGCCAUCAUCUCUUAACUUCUGAAUUAAAGUCUUUGUGGUAGUCACCAAAUGCAUAGCAUUUAAAAUGUCUUGAGAUUUCUGUUGCAAAGCUUGGCAAAGCACAUCAGUAAUUCCCAUAACAUUCUUCAUUAUAUGCAAGAUGAAUGCAAAAUCAAAUGACAUUAGCAACUUAAAUGAAAAAGCUGCAUCACCACAUUGAGAAUAAGUAGAUCCAUCUAAAGCGAUGUUUUCAAGAACCAAGCAAGUUGCCCCAUACAUUUUUAUCAAACUGCAAAUUGAUUUGAAGUGCGAACUCCAUCUGCUAUCUCCAGGUCGUUGCAAACCACCUACUUGAUUAACUCCUUUACCCGUUUCAAUCUCACCAAUAUCAACUAAAUGUUCAAUUGUAGCUGCUUGAAAAGCCCGCAAUUCAUCAUUACGCUUGCAAGAAGCACUAACAAUGUUAAUAAUAAAAAUCAAGUUCUGAAAGAAAGUGUGAACAUCAGAUAUUUCUCUAGCUGCAGCAAUAAGAGCCAAUUGUAAUUGAUGAGCUAAGCAAUGUACAUAAUAUGCAUAAGGGCCAUCAUUAAUGAAUAAAGCUUGCAAUCCAUUCCACUCUCCACGCAUAUUACUAGCACCAUUAUACCAUUGGCCCCUAAUAUUUUGAACAUCAAGAUUGUGAUGAUAUAAAACAAAGAAAAUCUCUUUCUUAAGAGUUGAAGCAGUUGUAUCUUUGACAUGAACUAUAUCCAAAAAUCGUUCUCGUAUAAAUCCACUUCUAUCAACAAACCUUAUAACAAGGGCCAUUUGCUCUCUUCUAGAUUCAUCUCGAGCUUCAUCAACAAUUAAGCAAAAUCUUGCAUCACCAAUGUCAUGACGAAUUGAAGACUGAACAUUUCUAGCAAAGACAUGCAAAAUUUCUUUUUGAAUUUGAUGCGAGGUGUAUUUAGCAUUUUGUGGAGCAUUAUUCAAAACAAGAGCACCUACUUGUUCAUUGUAUGAUGCUAAAAGUUCCAACAUUUCAAGAAAAUUACCUCGGUUUUUUUAUUCUGGACGUUCAUCAUGUCCUCUAAAAGCACAUGCUUGAAAUGUGAGCCAACGAACAAUAUCUAUUGAAGCUUUAAUACGCAAUCGAUUAUUUAGAAUUUCUUGAGUAGUUUGCCUCUUAACUACCUUCUCAAUAUGACAUGACUGAUUUCUCAAAUUUUCCAAGCACCUGGUAGCAAAUCUAUGAGCUGAAUUCGGAUUUUUUCCCAUAUGAGUUAAAAAAGCACAUCGUUCCCCGUCAUUAACUUUCUUCCAACAAUUGAAUCCUUUAAUAGUAAAUGUGUCUGAUCUUGGCUUUCCAGAUGACUUACUUGAAAAUAGAUAGCAAGGGAAACAAAAUGCAGUAUUUUUCUCUGAAUAUUCAAGCCAUGGAUAACUUUUGAACCAAUGAAACUGAAAUCGACGAGGAUGUUUUUUACCAGUCAGCGGAUAUUCAGACAUCAAAGGUUGAUAUGGCCCCAAAUUAAUGUAUGCCCUUCUAAUUUCAUCUUGUUGAUUAACCGGGUAUUCCCAAAUUUGAGGACGAUUGCUUGGAUCUCUAAUCAGAUGAGUAGUGUCGAUUCUAGUUGGAGGCCGCUCGUUAAUCAAUGCAGGUUCUUCAUAAACUGAAGCAUAUUGGAGUUGUUCAACUAUAACUUCAACAUUACACAUUGGAGUUGAUUCACUAGGCUGUGAGUUAUCAAUAUUUUUUCUCUUUUUCUCAAAAAAGGAAUCAAUUCUUCUUAUUUUGUUCAUGGUUCAACCUAAAAUCAAAACAUCAUAAAUUUUUAUUGUUUCCUAUUUAAAAAAUAAAUACAAAUAACAAUGUAUUGAAGCAAUAAUCAGAACCAAAAAUAAAUUUUUACAUGUAAACAACACUGACAUAUAAAAGUAAAAUUAACAUAUUAAAAAAAGAAAUUGAUAUAUAAAAGCAUAUCUAACAUAAAAAAUGGGAUUACUGGUUCCUAAAUAAGAAAACUUACACUGAAUCAAAGUUGGGUAUACGCUCUUCAAAGAACUCAAUUUGGCUAGAAAGAUCGUGUCUAAUUGUAUAUUGGACCUGGUGAUAGUAAGGUACACGUGAGAAAAAAUUGAUAAUUUUGGUGGCUCUGCUAAAAACAAAACAUAAAAAAAUCCAAGCAUAAUCGAAACAAACAAACCCAUAAAAUAUAUCCAAUUAAUUAGAAAAAACAAUAUUCACUAUAACAAGAAAUAAAAAAUGGUAAAACUAGUAAAUUUGAAAAAAAAAGCAGAAUUAUAUAUAUAUAUAUAUAUAUAUAUAUAUAUAUCAAAUUCUUAACAAACAUAAAAAAAAAAAAAGAAUUACUAAUUACCUUGAUGAAGAAUUAAUUGGCAGCAGCUUUGCUUUACCUUUAUGCUUUGUAUUAGUAAUAUUUUCGGUUAGGGUUGCAGAGAAGAAAGAGAGAGAGGUAGUAAAGGAAGGGAAAAAAAGUAAAAAGCUUAUUUGGCCUUUUAUAUAGAGAUACGGAGAUAUGGCUUUAAAAGCAAACAUAACUAAUAAAAUAAUAAUUUAGUAUUAAAUAGUCUAUUAUUUAUUAUAUUUAAAAAAAAAAUUUUGCAGGGGCCGGGCCCCUGCUGGCCUCCCCUUGGUUCUGCCGCUGCUGUGGUUGCUCAUAUAAUGGUCACUGCAGGUUUACAUGGUCGUUAACUUUAGGGCAUGUGAGAUUAGUCGAGAUAUGCGCAAGUUGGCCCGAACAUCCACAUUAAUAAAAAAAAAUUCAAAGAUUAUUCAUUUCAAAUGAGAAAAAAAAAAAUCAUAACGAGCGAAUCUUGUGAAUAAAUUACCGUAUUUGGACGCAACGAAACCGAGAAAAAACAAAGGUAAAGUCUAGACAAGAGCGCGCGCAUAAACUAUUUAUUGAUGAGCUUGUUCGUAUCAACAUAAAUAAAUAUCAAAGUAAUCCAAGCAAACUUUUGCAGAUUACGAAGAAUCUAAGUCGACAAAAAAGCUUUCAAUCAAAGUGUAUAUUUGAUAUAGAUUCAGUUUAGUAAAAAUUGUUUUUUAAUAUUUUAUUUUUAUUUUUAAAAAUUUAUUUUUAACAUGAAAAGCAUAUAAAAACAUUAUAAAAGAUUGAAAAAUUACAGUAAACCAUAUAACUUUUUGAAAGAUUUUGUACACGAAACCCUUGCUUAAUGACCGUGUAAAAUCAACACCCUUGGACGGUACUUUUGCUACAGUUUUUUGGAUAGUUCAAACUCAUUUAAAGUAUUUUUAGUUGGAUGUUCAUAUAGGUGAAAACAAAAGGAUUACUGUUACCUAACAUGAAGUCGAAUGAAGGUUGACAAAGUCAAAGACAGCGAUCAGACACGCAAAAAUGCAAUGAAUCAGCAUGUUCUGGACUUCCCACAGAUACACCUGUUUUCUACCACACUGAUUUUGGGACCCAUUAUAUCUGAAAAUGUCUUCAACAAAGCAUCUUCUCCUUCUUUCUUUUUCUUUUUUUUUUUAAAAUCUUUUGAUAUGCAUAUUAAUUCAACAUUACAUAAGGGCUAAGGUUUUUGUGAAUAAGGGGCUAUUCACACAAAAGAAUAAAAAGCCAUGAACAAAUGUGCAGCAGACAUCCAUCAAUGCAAGAAGUGCCCAUUUUCAAGAACUCUAAGCAACUCCUGAAUCAUUAUAAGAAGCACAAUACUGUCCAGUUGUUCUCAUGAAAUUAUUUUCCUCUAACCUCAUUAACAAUUCAUUGAGAAUCCCAAUAACUGAUUCAGUCACUUAAAAACCUGAACAAAACCCUCAAAUAUCAAAUCUUUAUAUGUUUCAAUAUCUAAAAAGAAGAAAAAACAACCAAAUUUUCGAACUUUUUCCCUCUAUUUAAAAAAGGGGGAAAAAAAAGCAAUAUAGGCCAUCGAUUUCUUUUCCUUUUUUUGUUACAUGGAGAGCAGGUAGAUCUCAUUAAGGCAAAUAAUUCAUCAAUUAGGAGGUGAUGCCACCUAACUCGGCAUUUGACGCAACACUGAUGAAUUAUAGAAAAAGUGAUGUGGCAGAGGUAAUAGAAAUUAAGGGUUUUGAGCAAUUUUUCAGAGCUAAAUAGAGAUUUAUCACAAACAAAUUUUAUUAGUAAAUGCUUUUAUAAACAAGUGAGAUAAGGCUAAAUCUAAAAGAAUGCUUGAUGAAUCACACCAAACUAGCAAAAUGAUAAUAAAAUAUCAUAAUUUUUUAUCUUACUAUUGAAUUAGACUAAAAUUUCUAUAGAUUAUUUCUAAGGCUUAGUUUUAUAAGUUGCUGCGCUUGCGGCAACCAUAUAUUCGAGUCCUGGAAGACCUCAAAUCAUGCCUCAAUGAUACUGUUUGAUUCAAUUUUAUUAUUUUUCCUUGAUUUAUUUUGGAUUUUACAUUAUUUUUGAAUUUUUAGCUAUCUUUCUGUUUUGUUUUAGGAUAAUAAUUUUUCUUACUAUGUUAAGGUUACUUUCACGCCUAUAUAAAGACUUGUAAAUAUCUAGAGAGACAAAAGUUAUCAAUUCAUUAUUUCAGAAAUAAAAAUAAGAUCUUAGGAGUUAGGAUUCUUCGUGUUUUAAUCUUAUUUUGGCUAAUUCUUUAUCUUUAUGUGCUUAUUGAUUGUUAUCCUUGCAGGGCUUUCGACUAUAUCAAAAAGUCUACCCAUAAUUUUCAUUAAUUGUAUUUAAGAAUGGAGUUAUAGUUUGACUCACGGUGAUGAGGGAUGAAUGUUCAAUUUUGAAAACAUGACCUUUGAGUUUUAGAUAAUUAGACUCGGUUAAGAGGGUGGUGGCUAAGUUUUUUUUUUUAAAAAAAAAAUCAAUGUAAAAUUUAUAAUAUUUAAUAUAAGAGCUUUAUAAUUAUUAGUUUGAAAAUAAUAAUAAUUUUGUAAAUUAUUAGAUGUUUUUUGUUGAUAUUUUUUAAAAUAAUAAUAAUUUUAUAAAUUAUUACGUGUGUUAGGGAGGACAUAAACUGUCAUCAUACACUAUAAUUUCUGAAAAAAUAAAGAUAAAAUAACUAAACUACACAAUGAUCAAGUAAUUUCUCCUUUUAAAAAAAAUAUCAUAGAAACUUUUUAUUGUAUCUAAAAUGUCCUUAUUUACUUUUUGAAAAAGAUAGUCAUAGGAAAAACUUAAAAGAUUAGAGAAAUAAACAUGAUUAUUUAAUUUAAUUUUGUUUUUGAGUUUAUUUUCUUAAAAAUAUUUCUAUAAAUUCUUAUUAUUUUCAUUUUAACUAUUUUUAUCUAGACAAUAAUUAAGGGCGUUAUAUGUAUUAGAAUAUGUCCUAUAAAAUCGCCAAAUUUUUAAAUAAUUCUUACAAUUUUACAGUACUUCGCACGAUUUUUGUGAUUCACCUUAGAACUUUUGCAUGCACAUAUUAAUGCACGGUUUAUGGUGUUUUUUUCACGGUCAGUUUUAAAAUUUUGUUGGAAAGUUCUUGGAACGCAAAAAUAUUUAUAUAUGUUAAAUGAUAUGGACUUGAUAAUUCAUUAAAAAAUAUGAAUCACUCAAUUGUGUGGCCCUGCUCUUGACAGGAAGAUCCGUAAGAAAAUCAUUGGAAACUUACCGGUACGAGUUCUUGACCUCAAGAAACCGGAAAAAAUUCGAAGUCAUUGGAAUAAAUAGAAACAAAAGGGCUUUGGAAGUUGGUUACUAAGAUACUAGAAGAAGAAGAAAUAUUGGGCUUGGCUGGAUCUUGUGCCUCUUUAACCAACACUUACCACACGGUUUGUUUCGUCUAGAUUCGUGAAAUACUCGUAGAAAUUUGGUGUUUUCUGAUUUCUAAGUAGAAUUGUACUUGUUCCAGCUUGAAAUUACUAGUUGGUAGAUUUAAUUGCCAAAUUUCUUGAUCUUACCUUCUGUUUCAUGUUUGACCACAGGAGCAGGCCUUAUACAAAAUAGCGUGGAAAGCAAUUGCUGAACCAAGCGAGCAAGUUGAGGCCAGAAGGGAUCGGUACUAGUUUAUCGCUAUAGGGAUUUUCAUGGCUUCCACCAGCGUGCAAGGAAUAACCUCAUCUUCAUCUUCUUCUUCUUCUUCUCCUCCACUAUAUAUGUAUGAUGUGUUCCUUAGUUAUAGAGGCAAAGACACCCGGAACAACUUUACUAGUCAUCUAUAUUAUAAUCUGGCACAGAGAGGCAUCGAUGUGUACAUGGAUGAUAGGGGGCUCGAGAGAGGAAAGACCAUCGAACUUGCUCUCUGGAAGGCCAUUGAAGAAUCAAGGUUUUCAGUCAUUAUAUUUUCAAGAGAUUACGCUUCUUCACCAUGGUGCUUGGAUGAACUUGUCAAGAUUGUUCAAUGCAUGAAAGAGAAGGGUCACACUGUUCUGCCAGUUUUUUAUAAUGUGGAUCCCUCAGAGACAUAUGAGAAAGCCUUCGUUGAGCAUGAACAAAAUUUCAAGGAAAACUUGGAGAAGGUCCGGAACUGGAAAGAUUGUCUCUCUACGGUGGCCAAUCUAUCUGGCUGGGACGUCCGGAAUAGGUAAAUCAUCUAUCUACUUAUUCUUAUUCUCAAAUCUGCCCUGUAUUGUUUCGUUGAUGAACAAGCAUAAUAGUAAAUGUGUAUUUUUCAUAUGCAUGAAUUUUUAUUUUUAUUUUUUUAUGAUAUUUUGAACUGAUGUGAUCAAGCAUUUCUAAUCUUUAUAUAAAACUUCUUUCUAUUCUUAGGUUUUUCUAUAUAUUUUGAAAAUAAAAUAAAAUAUUAAACAGAAAAAUUAAAAUGAAUAAAAAUGUUGAAAAACAAAUCUAGCAUGAACAAAUAAAAAAGUUAGGUAAAAAAUUAAAAAUUGUGAAGAAAUAACAACAAAUUCAUCAUAAGAAAUAAAAAAUUGACCAAAGUUUUUGAAUAUGUUAGUUUUAUAGCUUUUCAAAAUAAAAUAAAAAGAUUUUCCAUCUUGAAUUAAAAAAUUCAAACUAUUUAUAAAUCAAAGAGACAAAUUUAUUUAUAAUUUGUUUUGUGAAUAUUUUUAUUUUUUUAUUUGGAAUUAAAAUUUGAUAGGUGUCUUUCUUUCACUAAUGGAUUGUAACAAUGAAUUUACUAAUUUUUCUGCCUUAUUUUAUAGAACACACAAGCGAAUAAGUUGUUCUGCCUUAUUUAAGCAGCAUGAGCAAUGACUUAUGACACCCAAAAAAGAUCUUCAUUGAUGUUUUCUCAUUCACCACGACAUGAGCUACCUCCCGGAGUGGCAUGUGUGGAGUAAUUAUUUUUGGUUUGGCACCAAAAUGACUUUCUUUUUUUUUCUUUUCUUGUCUUUUUCCUUGAAUACCGCACCCGACCUUCUAAACUUGUAUAGUAACUCUUCAAUUUGGAUAUCAACUAUGUUAAUCUGGGAAAAAAGAAAGACUACUAUGGAAAGAAAUCCGAAAAUAAGUUGUUUUUUAAAAAGUUUACUAUGCAAGAUAGUUGAAAUUUUUGUUAAAAAUAAUUAUAAAAUUAACUUAGUGUUCGACAAAAAAUAUGAUAGAACUCCAUUUGCUUUUUUGGCCAGUUAAAACCAAACUUAAUGAAUAUUUUAUUUCCUAGCUGUUGUUGUAUGCUUGCUUCUGUAGUAUCUGUGUGAUUUUAUAGGCAAUAAGAUAGCUAUUGUACGGAUCAUUCUUAGCAUUAAUACAAUCCUAGUUUCGUUUUCAGUUUAUUCUUUCCUUUUCCUCUCUGUUCUUGAAUCUAUCUAUUAUCAGGGCCCUAUUUUUCUCAAAGGUUGGUGUAUUAAUUUCCGGCUAACAGCCAUACAUUUUCGAGCUACAAUAUGCUAAUGUCUAUUUUCACAUUAUCACUAUCUGAUUUGAUUUCUGCACACUGCAUGAUUAAUGUUUUGCACCCUUCUAUGCAGGAAUGAAUCGGAAUCAAUUAAAAUAAUUGCUGAAUACAUAUCGUACAAACUAAGCGUCACUCUACCAACAAUUAGCAAAAAAUUAGUUGGAAUAGAUUAUCGUGUAAAGGUAUUAAAUGGCUAUAUAGGUGAAGAAGUAGGCAAAGCAAUCUUCAUAGGGAUUUGCGGAAUGGGUGGCAUAGGUAAGACGACUGUUGCAAGGGUAUUAUAUGAUAGGAUUCGUUGGCAAUUUGAAGGCAGCUGCUUCUUAGCAAAUGUCAGGGAUGUUUUUGCUGAGAAAGGUGGACCACGCCGUUUACAGGAACAACUUCUUUCUGAAAUCUUAAUGGAACGUGCUUCUGUAUGUGAUUCUUAUAGAGGGAUUGAGAUGAUAAAGCGGAGGUUACGACUUAAAAAGAUUCUUCUUAUCCUUGAUGAUGUAAAUGACAAAAAACAACUAGAAUUUUUGGCUGCAGAGCCUGGAUGGUUUGGUCCAGGGAGCAGAAUUAUCAUAACAAGCAGAGAUAAAAAUGUGUUUACUGGAAAUGAUGAUACUAAAAUUUAUGAGGCUGAGAAAUUGAAUGAUGAUGAUGCUCUUAUGUUAUUCAGCCAGAAAGCUUUCAAAAAUGAUCAACCUGCUGAAGAUUUUGUGAAACUAUCUAAGCAAGUUGUGGGUUAUGCUAAUGGCCUUCCACUGGCUCUUGAAGUUAUAGGUUCGUUUUUGUAUGGAAGAAGAAUCCCUGAAUGGAGAGGUGCGAUUAAUAGAAUGAAUGAGAUUCCUGACGAUGAAAUUAUUAAAGUGCUUCUCGUUAGUUUUGAUGGCCUCCAUGAAUUAGAGAAGAAAAUAUUUUUAGACAUUGCCUGUUUCCUUAAGGGAUUUAAAAUUGAUCGAAUAACAAGGAUACUUGACGGGUGGCGUGGAUUCCAUACAGGUAUUGGAAUACCAGUUCUUAUUGAGAGAUCUCUCAUAAGUGUCUCUCGGGAUCAAGUCUGGAUGCAUAAUUUAUUACAGAAAAUGGGUCAGGAAAUUAUUCGUCGUGAAUCCCCUGAUGAGCCUGGAAGGCGCAGUAGAUUGUGGACAUACGAGGAUGUCUGCCUUGCACUUAUGGACAACACAGUGAGUAGCUGAUAGAGAACAUUAUCCAUAAGAUUUCAUGAAGUUUAUUUUAAUUUAUGCUACAAAUAUCUAUUUGUUUUUUACUUGUAUUCCCUUUUGGUUGACAGGGAAAAGAAAAAAUAGAAGCCAUUUUCUUGGACAUGCCUGGAAUAAAAGAGGCACAAUGGAACAUGGAAGCCUUCUCUAAAAUGAGCAGACUAAGAUUGCUCAAAAUCGACAACGUGCAGCUUUCUGAAGGACCUGAAGAUCUUUCCAACGAGUUACGAUUUCUUGAAUGGCAUUCUUACCCUUCAAAAUCAUUGCCAGCUGGUUUACAGGUGGAUGAGCUAGUUGAACUUCACAUGGCUAACAGUAGUAUUGAGCAAUUAUGGUAUGGGUGUAAGGUGAGAUCACCUAAUUUAAGGGCCUUUGUAUUUCUUUUUAUCGUUUUCUAUAUAUUUAUGAUAGUAGCAUCCAUAUUUCUUCUCCCCUGCCUGAUUGCAGAGUGCAGUUAAUUUGAAAAUCAUCAAUCUCAGCAACUCUCUAAACCUGAUCAAGACUCCAGAUUUUACAGGAAUUCCGAAUCUCGAGAACCUAAUUCUUGAAGGUUGUACAAGUUUGUUUGAGGUCCAUCCAUCACUUGCACGUCACAAGAAGCUUCAAUAUGUGAAUCUUACGGAUUGCGUAAGUAUU
rnacentral:lncRNA from 1 species